rnacentral:lncRNA from 1 species
AACUUCUCGCGGAUAAUCAUCUUCAGGGCUGGAAGGUCUAUGCAGCUGUUGAUGAUCAGCUGAGUAGCCAUAACUUUUCACGGGACUUGAAGGCUUACGAGGGUAGCGAUCACCAACAGCAUAAGUUUUUGGGGGGCUUGAAGGCCUACCAACAGCGUAACUUUUUGCGGGGCUUGAAGGCCUACCAACAGCGUAACUUUUUGCGGGGCUUGAAGGCCUACCAACAGCAUAACUUUUGGGGGGGCUUGAAGGCCUACCAACAGCAUAACUUUUUGGGGGGCUUGAACGCCUACCAACAGCAUAGCUUUUGGGAGGGCUUGAAGGCCUACCAACAGCAUAACUUUUGGGGGGGCUUGAAGGUCUACCAACAGCAUAACUUUUUGGGGGGCUUGAACGCCUACCAACACCAUAGCUUUUGGGGGGGCUUGAAGGCCUACCAACAGCAUAACUUUUUGGGGGACUUGAAGGCCUACGCGGGUAUUGAUCACCAACAGCGUAACCAUAAUUUUUUGGGGGGCUUGAAGGCCUAUGCAGCUUGGGAUCAGCAACAGCAUAACCAUACCCUUUCGCAGGGCUUGAAGGAGGGCUAGAAGGCCUACGCCAGUCAUCAGCAUACCCGUAUUCGUUUGCAGGUGAGAGAAUACGUUCAUGAAUAAUUGUCUCAGUUUUCAUAACAUAGCCCCCUUGUUGCUGGAAGGGAGCGCAACCAAUGAUUGUUCUUCGUGUUCCAUCAGCACCAACGAUGAUUGUGCGGCACUCAUCAUCUGCAUAGCUUGUCUUGUUCCAUUUAUUGGUGUGUGGUCCUCCUCCCGUGCCAUUAGAGUAACCAGAUCUAUAGUUGUGAUCAUAACCAGCCAUUAUUCAGCCCAAAGUUUUAAACUAUAUGAUUUACUUGGAUCUCUAGGACUUCUUUCUCACCUGCAACAUUUGAAGCUUCUUUUGUUUAUAUAGAAGGUACAAUUAUUUUUACCUUUAUAUCACAUAUGCUUCUCUCUUUCUAACGCAUUCCAAGAUUCCUUUCAGGUUCUUCCAUUGCGAAAACAGUUGAAAGAAUCAUAUUCCCGCCAAUCCAUGGAUUUCGACCUCCAUCAUCUUCCCUUCCAUUGACUGAAAUAUUUUCUUCCGUUAAGACUAGGGUAACUUGAACUACAAGAUGAGUUGCGGGACCAUUCGGUUUCAGUAAAUGCAGAAAAAUCAGUAAUUGUGGGAGCAUAGUUUGAGUGACUGCUGCACUGAAAUGUGAGAAAUCAAAAAAACAUACGGUUACCAAAACUUUCUGUCGAAUAUAAGAUUGUGAGCCUUUUUAGAAAGGUUGAAGAAUCGUGUUCUGCUCAUACAAGGAAUUGAGACCUCCAUUAACAAAAUCUUAUUCUUUCCAGCGAAAUCCGUAUGCCAUAUUCCAUCGAGCACUUCUCAAAUAAUCUUCGAUUCUGGGGUUGAUUUCGUGUGAGGUUAGGAAGUGGCCCAACUACUUACAAGCACAUAUAACGUCCCUCAUUUCCCAGACGUAGGAUUCAUACUCUCAACACAACUCUUUACGUGUGGCGAAUUUUCAAGCUUAGCACGUGGACAACACAAAUCGGGUGACGUGGAGCAUGUAUGGCCGUUGACUUCACAAGCGGGACAACCUGCUCUGACCAUGAAGAAGCUUGAGAGGAGUAACCCAACUACUUAUUGAAAAAUAUCAAUACUCAGUAUAGUAAGAAUGCUCGAAUUAAUAAACUCAAAAUCAAUGAAUUAAUGAGUGAGGCUACACUUUGAAUGUAUAGAGUUACAAGUGAUCAGGUUGUUACAAAAGAAAGUUAUCUCUAAUUACAAAUAAUUCAAACAUACACAAGAGCUAAUCAACUGUGGAGCAGUCGUAGAUAGAGUUGAACUGUGGUAAUUAUCUAUCUGCUGGAGAGUUUGAGCAGAACACUUGUGGAGAAGAUCAGGAAGCGAAAAUUCAAACUGGCUUGGCUUAUCACUUAUAAGCACAUGCAAGGUCCGUCAUUUUACUAAUUUGUGAUUCAUACUCUCAACAUAUACAAGGUUUUGUAUUGACACAGACUGGUUUGGCAAGAUGUCAUCAGUAGAGGUGUAGUUACAAACUCAUAUAUUUGUUGUUGUGUACGAUCUGCAAUAAGGGAAAUGAUUUCUGCAUGUCAGAAAUAAACAAGUGCGUAGAAAAAGAAAAAUAGUGUGCGGAAAUCACUUCCAAUUCAAUAAAUGUAUUUUUACUGCAAGGAAAUUCUUUUUGUCUUGCAUUCAACAUCUAUAAUAUUUUUCUCCUUCUUACAAUAGAGGAAGCGAACCCGUUUCCUACCCUAAUCCGAGUCCAUUUCCCAACAACUCUUACUACUUGAGCUAACCGAUAGGGAAAAAAAAGGAAACACAAAUUCACGAAAUUACCACAAGGCAUACAUGCCAUAUGUACAAGUACAAAGAGUACACUUCCAUGUCUUACCAUGAAACUAAACAGAAGCAGAAAACACAGACAGAUAGAGUGGCUAGGUUAUACCGAUCCAACGGACGAAAAUGGCCUAAGAAACGCCAUACAUCGAAGCCGAAGCAUAGAGCAUAAAGCCUUAAUUAGCAUCACAUAAUUUACUUGUAUGAAUAUUUGUUCUUGGGCUUUGAACUCUCCUUCAAGUAGCAGGGCCCUGUCAUCCGUCGGAAUGCUGAGCCUACCAUCGCCUCGAACUGGAAGCGAAGCUGCCAGUAGUGAGCCACGAGUUUGGCUUAGUGCCGUGGCCACUACCAUUCGCUGUCACGUUAACUGCUGGCUCCCAUGGCACCACCGUUAUGUUUGCGUUGUGCGUGUAGUCAUCAUAGUUGUCAUUCUUAACGUGCAACCCCAUUGUAUCACUUUGAUUAAGGUAGCCGCCAUAAGUUCUUGCCGGCUCAAGUCCUGUCAUGGAGGGCUUGACGGCCUAUUACGCCAGUUGUCGCCGGUGGCACAAUCCGUUAGAUGUGAGGUUUUAUCACAAAAGAUAUCGGUAUUAGUUGAAAUGAAAUUAGGAUAUUUAAUAUCUUCUUUUCUUAGAAAUACGGUCGACGUGGGAUAUUUCAUCAGGAUGAAGUUAACAAAGGUGGGUCUAACAUGUUCAGUAAUGAUCGUCUCAUGUUUUAUAAAGUACCUCCCAGGUUGUGCGCCAGCAAUGAUUGUUCUUCGAGUUCUGUCAGCAUCAACGAUGAUUGGCCAAAACUCAUCCGUGUCAGCAGCAUACCUUGUUUGGCCCCACUAGUUGGCGUACGGUCUUAGUGAAGAAAGUUAAGGUUCCAUCAUAAAAUCGUAAAAUCAAUUGGUAUUAAGUUGAGGUUCCACAAGCAAGGUCCCUCCUCUAGGAGUCAUUCUCAAGACGCCCUCUCACGUGUAGCAAUUUUCAAGCCUAACAUGUUGAGAACACAACUUGGGUGAGUGGAGCACGUAUGACAAUUGGGCUUAAUACGUGAGACAACUUGUUUUGAUACCAUGAAAAAAGUUGAAGUUCCACCAUAAAAUCAAUUGGCAAUAUAGAGAGUGGCCUAUCUAUUUGUAAGCACAUGCAAAUCUCUUAUCAAUGUGAGAUUCAUUCUCAAAACCUAGCCCGCUGCUUCCUCUGGUGUAGCCUGCUCCGUAACCGUAGCUGGUCAUUGCUUCAAGUAUGGAAGCAGCUGUAUGACAUUUUUCUGAUUACUUGGAUUGUUGAAGAUUAUAUAUAUAGAUACAUAUUGGAUUGUUGAACCAUAUGUGUAUAUAUAUAGAUACAUAUUGGAUUGUUGAACCAUAUGUGUGUGUUUGUGUAUCUAUAUAGAUACAUAUAUGUAUACAUAUGUAUUGAACAAACACUUCAAGAACCCAUAUUCUGUGGAUCCUUAAGUUGUGAUCCCCAUUAACUUCCCUUGAGAGAGGGGUAUAGAAACACUUAGUCGGCAACCCAUAUCACCAAUAAGAACUUACACGUCGCGCAGACACCAAUGUGACAAAUUCAAACUAAUCAUACAACACGAUUUAGACAAGUUGAAAACACAUGGUGACAUGUGACAGACUUGAAAUGCUGACACAUUUGCGUCUUAGUUGCAUGUAAGUUUCUCUCAAUAUCAUCACACUCGAAAGUCGGAACUUUUGGCCUUAAAACUCUUCUCCUGAAGAGAAACAUCAAGAUCAAAGCUUACCGCUUUUGCCCAAAUGCAGAUUCUCUGCGUUAUCAAAAUAUCUGAAGAAUCAUGUUCUGAGUUCCAAAGGCAACCAACUGUCUUCCCUCAUUUUUAAGUCUACGAUAAAUUUUUGUGUUAGGAGAAUAUGGAAAAAAAAGACAACUACUUCACAUCCUUUAAAGAUAUUAUUCAGCACUUUCAUUUCAUGUUGGGGAUACAAAUCUGACAAAGACACUUAAAAAAGAAAAAUAGCCAAUGUUUCGUACGGAGAAAAACUUACAUGCAAUCAGAACAUUAAAAUGACAAUAUUUGAAGCCGAUCACACAAUGUCGUGUGGAUGUGGGCAAGGUAGCGCACAUGGUGGCGUUUGAUAGGCUUAGAAUAGCGCUUGUAUGUAAAUCCCUAUCUUCGAUAUCACACAGAAGCCUAGAAUGGUACUGCAAAUUCCAUAUGCCAAAAUUCCAUCCCAAAUUGCUCAAACAAUGUUCAAUUAUGGGACUGAUUUUUCACCUCCGCAGAACUUGUUGGUCAAACCUAGGGGUGGUUUUGGUACAUUACCUCUGUACCAAUUACCAUAUCAAAUAUUUAGUACGAAAAAAUCUAUUACCAUUACCGUACCAAACUUUCGGUAUACCGAAUAUCAGUAUACCAAAUAGUUUGGUUGGUAUGGUAUGUCAAUGGUAAUUGCUACUUUGUUUUACGCUACUUUAGUUUGCCCAAAAUCUAAUAUUUUUUAAUUAAUGUAGAAGUGUAAAAAAUAUGGAAAAAAAUAUAUAAACGCUCGUAAUGACAAGCUUUACAACUUUCGUGAAGAGCUUAACUUUGAAAUUCGCCAUUAUAAUCAUAUAAAUCAUAGAUCAAAAUUUAACCGUUGAUUGUUGUUUACAUUUACGCUUCAUUUUUUCUCAUCAAAUUUUGUUUUUUUUUCGGAUUUUCUUUUUUGAAAACAUGAUCUAUUAGAGGAUGCAGGAAGAUGAACGGUUUGGAUCGUUGAUAUUAUUUUCAGAGUUUUAUGGUUAGUGAAAAUAUUGCUUGAUAUUUAUAAAGUUUCUACAAACUAUAUGACAUCAACUCAUAUUUCAGUUAACCAUAAAUAUCGAAAUGUGAUAUCAAAGAUCUGAACCGUUCAUCUUCUUACAUCCGCCAGAUGAUCAUGUUUUCAAAAAAGAAAAUUUUAAAAAUGAUAUUCAGUAAGAAGAAUAAAGCAUAAAUGACAAUCGACGGUUAAAUAUAAAUUUAAGGUUUAUGGAUUAUAGCAUUGGAUUUUGAAGCUGACCCCUUCAUGAAAGCUGUAAAGCUUGUCACUAUGAGUGAUUGUAUAUAUAUAUAUUUUUUUUUUUACAGUUUUUACACUUAUACAAUAAUUAUUAUUAAUUUUAUUAAUUUUGCCCUCAAAUAAUAAUAUGAAUAAAUAUAUAAUAUAAUAUUAAUAAUAUUGGUAGGUACGGUAUACCACUGGUACUGGUUUUGGAUACCAGUACCGUACCGAAACAGUAUGGUAACAUUACCAAUUGGUACAAAUUUUUGGUAAUAAUUUAGUAUGGUAUGGUUGAUAGGACGGUUGAUACGGUAAUUUGAUAAAAAUUUCCACCUCUCUUAACCUGUACGAACUUCUUGGUCGCACGAUUUAUGAAUUCCGACAGUAACAUCACUGAUCAAAUUCCUCAGGUUUCUCGUCGGAGUUUCAGACUCGGAUUUCAAGUUCACUUGCGACGCAAGAUUUAGUGCAGAAAGAGAGACAUGCUUUUCUUUGGACGAAAAUGUGAACCUUGUAUUAACUAGUGGAGUGUUAGUACUUAGUACACAAACCUCUUCCAUGGAAAAAUAAUUAUACACCACAAACAAGAACAUAUCCAACAACAUAAAAUUUUCAAGGCUCAAACGUUGGAACUUCCUCUACAGAGGAAUACGUUACCCGAUAUGCUGUUCUGUCGAAAAUAUUCCUAUAAGGAUCCUCCUCCCGCUUCUUAAUUAAGUAUGCUAAACUGUUUUCAACGUCAGAUUGUAUCUGCAAGUACAAUUCGUUUGCGUUUUCUUUGUCUUGCAGGAUCUCUUUCUUUCCCUUUGUUUCUAUGGGCUUUCCAAACAAAUAGUAAUACCGUCCUGGUAUCUUCGGUACAACCCCUGGAAAAAAGAGUUGAACGUUGGCAACCUCCCCAUUCGACUCAUCCCUACAAAACCAGAGAACAUUAAAAUUCUGUUUAACAAUGUGCGACCAUUAAGAUUAGAGUUGGGAGAACACACAAACAAUAACGCGGAGAAUAAUUACCUUAGUUUUAUAGUAUCGCGACUAGCGUCUUUGAGAUAGUCACUCACCACUGGUAUAUUCAUUAGGUCAUUGUAGUCAAGAACCAACUGCCAGAUCCAAUAUAAGAACCGAAAUAUAAUGUUAACCGAAGAUUUAGCUCAGAAGUAAAAAGAAGGCAUGGUAUUGUAACGUUAUCUGUUUUCCGAAAAGAAUAAGGAGUGGUUUCGGGGGAAAAUAAUGUACGUAUUUAAAGCUAUAGAUGAUCGAGAUUUCAUAAACUUAUUGUAAGCUACGAGAAAGAGAGGGAAGAACAGUAACACAAGCUUACUUCUAGUAAGUCAUCUUCUCCUACAGCCGCAAAUGGUACAAUUGUGGCCCCAAAGCGUGCAGCCAUUCUCACAAAUUCCGGUUGGUCAGGCCAGAAUAACUUGUAUUCUUCACCCUGCCAAUUAUAGAAACACCAUAUAGGCAUGGGAAACCAAAACCGUAACAGAUGAAUUACCAACAAGAUGAAGUGUAAAAGGUCGUACCCAGUGCACAAGGCUCCCGCUUUACGCAGGGUCUGGGAGAGGUGAAUGUCGGCUAGCCUUACCCCCAUUUUAUGGAGAGGCUGCUCCCAACCAACAAGAUGAAGUGUGUGUGUGUAAAAUCCAUUGCACACACAUUUAAAACAUGCAAAAUGCCGGAUCAAAAAAUAACGUUCUUGAGCCAAUGAAAAAUUGGUUUAAGAUGAAACGAGGAACUUGGCGCACCUUCUUAUGGAGAGCCUCACGUGCACCACCAGGAUAAAGCAGUACAUGUGAUUUUGUUUUAAGCAAUUUGAAUAGGUUUUUUGCUGCGACAGGUACUGCACCGAAUAGUUUGAGAACGUCAAAUUGGGCCGAGGUCCCGUUCUUGCCCCAAAACAGUUCUGGAUGUGCUAAUCCACGAACACUUAUGCUCUUCUCUCUUAAAAAUUCUUCAACUAUAGAAUUCAGUUCCAACCCCAAUAAAUUGUGAUAACCAACAAGUAAGACAGGUCCUUCGUUAGGAACUCCAGCAAGACCUCUCACUAUUUUCCCAUCUUCCAACGUUGAGAGCAUUACGGAAGCAGUAGCUAGGCUUAAUAAUCUGACAUUCAUGUAUUUCACUAUCAGCUCUGGCCCCAAACCAAUAAAUAUGUUAAUGGAUGCAACUUAGCGGGGUUCAGGUUAGGUGCAAGUGAAACCCGACAUGAUGUAUCUAUACUACCAAGUACAAUUUGGAACUAACAUGCCUGGAAAUCUGCAUCACAGAAGACGAAACUAACAAAUAAAAGAAAAGUAAAAGUGUUGAACUGACUUACCUGAAUUGUUUAUCAGAUGCAUUUUUCAAUUCCCACAUACUAGGAGGAAGAAAAUCUGAGACAUAAUCAUGCUUCCUUGAACGACGGUAUUUGUAAGUGCCUUUUAUAACUGACAUCAAAUUAACGCCAUCUUCCUGUAACAUGACAGUAGAGCACAUUCAAUCACAUUAGUGUCUUCACAAGUCAAUGGCACCCGAAAAGUAAAGCUUAUAUUACACAGGAACAGCAAAGUAUAGCGAAAUUUGCAUCAAAGAAAACAAAAUUGUUGUCACAGUAAUAGUGUCUAGUGUCCAUUGUCAAAUGGGCAAUUGAUAUCCCGAGAGAGUUCUUGAAGCCAAAACUCAAUCUUUAUUCUUUAACUAGAGAUUUUAUCCAACUUGGGAAUUAAUAAAAGGGUGUUGAGUUCAAAGAACAGAUUCAACAAUAUUCAAGAAAAGAAAUAAAACAGUUUACUUAAAUCAUAUCCAGAAUGCGCCUUGGUUAUUAAUUUAAAGUUAAUGUUAUUAGCCAUUAUCCAACAGACAAAUUGAAGCCAACUUAAAAAUAAAAUUCACCAUCAUCAGUCCAAUGUGUUGCAUACUUACAUCUAUGCAGUUUAAACAAAAUCAUUAAGGGCAUUGAUUUCACAAUGUAUGCUAAACACAUCAUUAAACUUGUCAUCAAUGAUGACAGCUUACAGAAAAUUCAGUAGCAUUUCACCAGACUUGUAAUAAACAGACAUAUUUUAACUUACUAGUAAUAGAGUAUGUCCAUUGUCACUGAAGUGUCGGACUUUACAAUUCUGUAAUGAACGUGCUAGUCGUUCUGCUUCAUCUCGACUUGGAACCAUAUAAUCUUUGCCACUGAAAGAAAAUAAAAAUAAAAAAUCUACACAAUUUUACAAUAAUCAUUUUUAUUACGAGUGAGAGAGAACCACAAUAGGUAUAGUGAAUAUUAACCUAGCCAACACUAGCACUUCAGCUUUAACAGCAUGGAGACGCGAAUUUGCAUAAGCAGCAGCUGAUUUGAGCAGCUUCAGCUUCCAAAGAAGAGUGUCCCUCGGUAUAAUAUCAGCCAGAGACUGAGACGGAAAUGAUAGAAGUAAAUAUUGAAAAUAAGAUAGAAUCCACACCUGUAGACAUUUCAACGAAGUUCAAGAAAAGGAAUUGAAAGCAGUUCUUACAGAGAGAUAUGGUAGCAAAUCAGUCAGGUUGCGAGACAAUUGUGUUAACUUUAAACUGGGAGGAAGCCUAUUUUCAAUGUUAACCAUCGCCAUUUUUGUUGGAUCACCUGGUGGAAUGAAGGUUUAACAUAGUGACAUCAGAGUUCUUGUAUUUGGCAUUGGAAAACAUAGGGACUUGAAACUGCAAACAGUUGUUUCUGACCAUGACACGCUCGCGGAACUUUCCCGGAAAACUAAGAUCCAAAAUUUUUUAAAACUGCUUCCAACAAAUAUAUAUAUGGCUCCCAAUCAACAUAACAUUCAGUACAAGCUAAUGCAAUUUACCGCCGUAUCAAAACCUUCUAAACCAAUUAUUUAGUUCAAAAAUUCAGAAGCUUAUAUUUCAAAUCAUAAAACCUAUUAAUAUAUAAUCCUAAUAACCCAAUUCUCUAGGAAACCAACAAAAAUGAGUUUUCUUGUGAACUGAAAAACAUAAUCUUAUUGACCCCACCAAAUUCCGAAUAUAAAGUAUCAUAUUCUUUUUUACUCCUAGAUUAACAAUUUGAUAGUAAAAUUCAAUUUUCGUUACUGGGCUCCUUCCUGAUCGUAUUGACCAGAUUUGUUCCCAUGAUAAGCUAUAGUCUAAAUACUCACAUUAGCAUUUCAGACUGUAAGAAAAUUGAGACAAAAAACUCAUUGGCUACGACACAGGGCUCAAAACUAGUCAAGUUUCAUAACCGGACUUGCAAGAAGACAACAAUAAAGCAUUUCUACGAUUCUUUUUAGUCAAGGGACGAUAAUGGAGGUCGUAAUCCUGGAUUGGCAGCACCCCAAGAGAAUAAGCAUUCCACAUGCCAAAGUAACACAGUUAAUUGAGACAGGGUUGAAAGCACAGUCAAGGGCCAAAUUAGAAAUGACUUAUCUCACUUCACCAUAAAUUUUUUUGUUAAUUAGAUUCCAGAGCAACAAAUCACGUACCCAUAACAAAGCCAAGUAGAUAGGGAACUGCAAAAUGUAAUUCAUCAGGCAUAGCCUCCAAGAUUGGGAACAGAGGUUGCAGCUGAGACCUUUCAACUGAUGUUGCUACAAUAAAAAACACCAAAAAUGUCAGACUGAGUUGGUGUGUUGAAUACACGCCAUUAGCAUAAUAAAAAUACAUGUUGAAGAAAAUUGAACCGCGCAACUUAUAACAAACCUGGAUUGACUAGUAUCAGUACUAAAUCAAUGGUAGGAUUAUGUGCAGCAACAGCAAGUGACAGGCAUCCUCCGAAGGAAUCUCCUACCAAGUAAAUUGGCUUGUUUGGACAUAAAGCAUGCUCAAGCCUGAUAGUUUCUACGACAAAUUUCACCAGCCCUUAACAGAUGAAACCAAACUAAAUUAUUGAUUGAGAGCGACAUUUUAUCAAGUAAAGAAAAACAAAAAUGAUACUUCAUACAUAUAUAAAGAAUUUCAAGAUUAAGACCUUCAAAUGGUGUUCGAUCAUUAACAGGAAUAUGCAGGCAUCGAACUUCAAAAGCCCUGCAUUUUUCAACGAAUUAUAUCAGAAGCUGCUAGAAAUAGUUUACCUCCAAUUUCAGAGCUAAGAACCUGAUUUUUAGCGCUACCAUAUUUCUCUAUCAAGAACAACCAUUUAUUUGAGUGGAAUUUCGCCAAGAAAAACAUAGUUUAUUAAAAUUGAAGAUAAUGGUUAUCUUACUUCCCAAGAUCCUAACAAAAUUUUGUAAACUACAACAAAUAAAUAAAUUGAAAAACUUACUUCCCAAGAGCUUUAUGGUGCAAAAUGAGGCCCCAGCCAGUACCAUCCAGCCCUGUAUAUGCACAAUACCAAAAGGAUUAUGCAGCAGUCUGUACUAUAAAACUUCACCCAUUAAUAAAGACAAAACAAACACAUUUUACGCAGAUUUAUGUUGUUUAGCUAUUCUACAUAUAUAGACAUAUCCUUUGAAUGCAAAUCACAGUGCCAACAUUAGAGACCAAGUUGUGAUUUAUCAUCUUUGGCACGCCAACAAUUACCAGGCAAAAACAAAAGAAUCGGAGAAUCCUUUAAUGGGCGCCCGCACGCAUUGGGAGAAAACCACCGGGGAGGUCCACCGUCAGGCUUAAUCAUCUCCUUGUUUGCAUGAAAAUAAUCUUUUACAGUGACAGUCCCAUACCCAUCAUCGUACAAAGGUUUCAACCUUUCAAGACCACCACCAUCCUCCACCCUCUUCUCCUCCUCCUUAACUUCAAACCUCAAACUCCCAUUCCCUCUCCUAUCCUCCCUCUCCUCGAUUGCGGAAGCACCAUUAGAAACAAAUGAUUCUGAUGACAACACUGGUGAAUCCCUACUAUCUAAACUCCUAACCUGCACUCGAAACCGAAGCUUAUUCUCCAAAUUCAGCACACAAAAAUGCGGACCCGGAAAGCCUAUAACUGAUGUCAUGGCUUCAAGCAAAAUGCAAAAGAUUAUAAACCCUUUUCCCAAAAACUCACAGAAUUCAGAAACUUUGGAACUCUCAACAAAAACUAGCACUUGGGGAACACCUUAGGUCCUUAACAGAAUGAACAAAAACUGCCGAAUUCAGGACAUUCCCUUAAACCACUCCAGCAGAAACAACCAUGCAUUUAGCACAACAGAAACCUUCCGGCACACUAAAAAAUGGGCACGAAAGUGAGAUUUGAAGCAGACCCAGAUAGCUUACUAGAAGAUAUAGCCUCUAAAACACCUAAAGUCUUGAACUUUCCUCUAAUUUAACAAUAACUGGCAACAAAAUAUGGUAAAAGAAAUGCUCAAAAGGCAAUGUGAACAAAUUGCAGCAAAUUUUUACGGUGCAGAAAAAUAUGGAAAUGAAAUUAUUGGGUGAUAAUCUGCAUUGUACCGGAUGUGGGUCUGAGUGGCAGACCCAAAUAGGUGAGUUUUGUCCAUUUGCUUUAUUGCUCUGGUUGCUAUUAGGCCACAUGGGUCAUCUGACGCUGUGACGUUCGCAAUUCUGGAAGAAGGGGAAGCUCUAUCAGUUAUAAAACCAGUAGUUAACGGUGUGUGACCAGAAGAAGAAAAAGGAGAAUUACAAGGACUUGGUGGGCAAAAAUGGAAGUGUAACUUCGGGAAGGUGGUACUUCUACUUCUACGGUCUUACGACUCUUACCAGUGAGUCCGAGUGUCGCUGUUAUCGCCAAAUGCAGACAGUACGAAAAUGUGCUGUGACGAGAACAAUCGGCACGAAAAGAUCUUUACUUUAUUGAGACCAAGAGAGGAGGCAGGAUAUUUUCUUGUGAAAAAGCAGAAAUAAAAAUAACCUUUCAUAGGUAAUCAAAUACGAAAUUAUUACUGCAAAAUUGUUACAAAAAAACAAAAUGAUUACCGAAAAAUUUGACUUUUGAGUGUCACCCACUUUUAUCUAGAACUUUUAUUGUGUGACAGAAUAUGAGGGUGAGAGCCGUGAGAUAUCGCAUUCACAUAUUAUAAUACAGAUUGCAUAAAUAUAUAGAUAUUUUAUUUAUCACAAACGUUACGCGCCUCUAAUAUUUUUUUAAAAUGUGUUUGAUAAUGUAUAAACAAAAAUUGUGUUAACUUUUAGUUACAGGGCACAUGUCACAUUUUUUUCAAGUUGUCAUGACCAAAUAAUGAUGAUAUGUUUUGAUACAUUUAUCUAAAACAAAAGAUUAACAAUAUCUACGUACUAAAACAUAAAGCUUACUUGUAACGUGAUGUUGUCAUUACCAAAUAAUAGUAUCUUUAAUCAGGAAUGCUAAUUUUCAAACACGAUGAAUUUUAUUCUUACCUUUUACCCACAACAUCUUCCUUAUCGUUUUUGUGUGUUCUCAUCUUUUGCUUUUACUAUCUAAUCCCAGUAAGAUUAAUCUUGGUGUAUCAACACGAUUUGUGGCCAUUAAAACCUAUAUAAGGUGCAUUUGAAGAGGGUGGCUGUCAAUUAAACGAAAAAAUUAAAGAGUCAUACAUGAUUAGUUGAAUUGCACAAACAACAGCAAAUGUCGAUAAUUCUCUUAAAAUUGAAAACUCAAAUAUGCUUAAAAUAAAACAAAAUGACAUCACAGGCCAUAAGAAGCCAAUUUAGGGCUUGUUAAUAAUUCUCUUAUAAGUGUGUCACUACUACAAAACCAUUUAAUAAUGUCGCUAUUAUAACCGACAAAAAACAACUAUUACUGUCGGAUAUUAAGCAAAAUCCGACAUAAAAUGAGUGCAGUGGCGGAUAUAUACUAAGUGACAUAAUUGCUAAUUUUCUGACAAAAAGUACACUAAAACCGACAGAACUUUUAUGUUGAUAAUUCUCUUAAAAUUCUCUUAAAAUAAAUCAAUAAUUCUCUUAUAAGUGUGUGUAAAUGACUUUUUCGACAAAGCUCCGCAGAGUUGAAGAUAGAGCAAACCUACAUUUAAUUAGACAAACUAGUCUUGAUGCACUCGCUCUUGUAAAUAAAGUAGCAAAAGCCAUAGUGAAAAGAAAGCAAGGAUAGGGAGAAGGAGACCCAGAGACCACCGGAGUAAUAAAUCGGCCACGCUCCCCUUCGCAGCGGCCUCCUCAGAAUCCACUAAGCUUGGUAUAUUUCGUAAAUUAAAGAGAAUUCGUGGGUUCUUCUGCAAAAGGUCCGGCCACCGGAACCAUUUAUCCGGUGAUCGGAAUACCCCAGUCCCCAAGAGCACUGAACAGAAGGAAGAAGAGGAGUUAUUGAAUUUUUUUUUUCUUUUUCUUCGUCGUUUCUGCAGAAGAUUCAAAUGAACUAUUUGGUCGCUUCGCUUAUUUUAUCUUCUUUUUUUUCCAAUCCUGUUUUUACCUCUUAAUUUGUUUAUAUAUGGCUGGUUUUGUGGAAACUAUCCGUGAUAACAAAACAAAACAUAAAACUGAAGUAAAUGGAACAGUUGUAUUGAGGAAAACGUGAGAGCGGUUGUGUGUUAGAGAGACGAAGGGCUGGUUUGGUUUUGCUGUGCUUUGAAAAAAAACUGUUGUGAGAAUAAGCGACUGUGAAAUAAAUCAGCAGGGUGUUUGGUAAACUUUUUUGUAAAAAUGCUUUUGGAAAGAAAAAAAAAAGCAGUUUGAUAGUGGGUCUUUUCAUUAAAAGAGCACUGUAGCUCCGUGUGCUUUGAAAAAAAAAACCUGUUUUCCAAAUCUACAAAUAGCAGCUUCAGCUUUUUCCUUUGAUUUCAGCUUAUUCUCACAGCAGCUUCCAAAAUAAGCCAUUUUUUUUCAGUUUACCAAACACCUAAAACCCUCACAGCUUUUUUUCAUGAAUGUUUUUUUUUUAAACACCUCACUCCCAAACCACCUCGAAGAGGAAGAAGAAAGGGGUCGUGGGUUUUUAUCUUCUCUUUUCUUUUUCUUUUUCUUUUUGUUAUUUUUUAAUUUUUUUUUGGUUUAACAUAUUUUUCUUUUUUGUUUUUCACAAAAGUGUCUCUGCUAUUUUGUUUCUAUUAUUUUCAGAUGGUUGUGAAUUUUUUUGUUUGAGGGGCUUUAUAGUUCAAUUUUUUUUUUUUUUUUUUGUGAAGCUUUAAGACAUCAAAUUCUCAUUCUGACUUUCUAAUAUUAAAGAUUGUUAAUGAGCAUAGAAGUAUUAAUCUUUCGCCUAAUUGGAUUAUUGGUUCAUGUGAUAAUAUGAUAGUUAGAAGAUAGCUUCUGUUGUGAACAAAAUAGGAUUUAAGCUCUGGUGGUCAAAUCUGUUAGGAUUUAUACCAAAAAUUGAAAAUUUUGUCAAUUUUUUGUUAAUAUUAGCACAUGAGCCGCACAUAUUAGGCUAAAACAGAACUCUUCAUACACAUAUUAGGCUAAAACAAACAUUUCUGUUAAUAGUUAAGACGUGGGGCUGGUUCACGUGCUAAUAAUUAACAUAAAGUUGACGGAAUUUUCAAUUUUGGGCUAAAUCUUAACAUAACUUAAAUCCUAAUUUUUUUUUUACUACAUGAGCUAUCUUCCAACUACCAUAUCACCACGAAGACUAUUAAUCCAAUUAAGCCUUAAUUUUUCAUGAAUUUAUGAUAGCCUUUUUAGUCAAAAUGGUCAAUUGGCAUACCUCACUUUGAUAUUUAAAAUCGAUAUAAGUGAUCCCUAGAUUAUCAACAUCAAUAAUUUUGAUCAUGCUAUAAAAAAAUCUUCAUAUAAAUAUGCAUUAUUACACCAAUAGAUUGGAACCAUUACGUGGUAGUUUAGCUAUCACACCAAAAAAAUUAUGUCCUCCUAUCCUCGUAACAUGUCACUUUGCCAUAGCACUUUUUUAGUGGUGUUCGAGUCUACCUUAUUAUACAUUUUCUCAAUGAUAAUAGUCAUCUUGCACUUCUUUAUGAUUAAAAUGAACCAGAACAAUAUCGAAUAACAAUUUUAGAGUGGUUAUCAAAAUAUGAGAAAAAGAGUACAUAAUUGUUAAUAACAAUUCCUUUUUGAACUUUCAAGAAUAAAUUUGGUCAAAUAUAAAGAUUUCCUUCCUUUUUUUUACCUCUAAAAUGUUAUUUGGAUGUGAGUAUUCCUCGAUAAAAAUUUAGAGAAUGUUUAAAUAGAAUGCGUUCAUCGUCAUUAUGAUGUUUCCGUUAAAUAAUACAAUCUCAUACGUAAAUUUUUCUCAAAAUAAUAUUGUAUUAUUUGACCAGAACAUUACAUAACGAUAAAUCCGAUUUAUGCAUAUAGUUUCACAAUUAUGAGUGUCCCAAUCCAAUCACUCUUUCCUGAAGUAGACGGAUCAAAGAAAAGCGUAAGGUGUUUUCGUCCACUACCACUAUUACCCUCUUAAGACAAUUCCUGCACGAUUUGUGACCAAGCUUUAGAGCCAAACCCCUAAUCAAUGAGAAAAUGACCAUAGGCCAGACCUAAUGGGACCACUUCCAACUUUCCAAGGGAGGCAGUUCGGUGUCAUUCUCAUUCAUUUUUGUGCGGUCACGGUUAAAUCACGUCAACAUUUUAUAUUAAUUUUUUUAUAAAGAUAAUAAGAUAAAAAACAAUAAGAAUAUAAAAUAUUGACGUAGCUUAACCGUAAACACACAAAUAGGAGAUAAUGAAAAUAACACCCAAACAGGAGUUGGGACAAUCUGCUUCCCUUUCCAAGUCCCAACAUCACCGGCCAGGAAUCGACACGAGUUGGGACGGGAGUACAUGAGAACUUUCGGUCUUUUUGGCAAACAAUUACGUUGUCCAGCAACAAAACAGAGGUUAUUAUUAUUUUUUUUUUAAGGAACAACCGGUGACUUGUCACUGUUAUCCAUCAUUUUUGGGAGCCGGAAAUACUCAUAGAGGCAUUUCAGCAUUUCUUCGCCACAAGUCUAGCUUUCACGCCAGCAUCGAGUUCUGAACCCGAGAUUUGCAGUUUUUAAUUUGAAGAAAGUCUUGUAAUCCGGUCUUUACCGUUGGGUCACCAGCUCAUGGAUACAAAACAGAGGUUAAUUGAAUACUACAAUCUUGAGAUAUUUUUCUUCAAUUGUAAAUAAAAGGUAUUUGGUUCGAAUAUCGUGGAUGACGGAUGCCAAUUUAUUCCUCUAAACGAGAAUGCAAAUCUACAAAUCUUUCAUCAUCAUGCGCCUAAAUUAAUCCGGCCGUUCAGAAGUUCGAAGAAACUUGCUGUUAAUUUCUCAUCCAACGUCGAAAACACUAUCUACCGCCAUGCAGACGACCAAUUGACAAAUCAGCAGCGUCCAGCAAAGCUUCCACAUAAGCAACAAGGCACCUGCCCAACAAGGACCAGGCUAACCAGAGCCUUCUCGGCAAGUUUCGGGAGAUGCCUCUCUAAUGGAUUCGGUAAUCAAUUGAUUUUUCGAACUUUACGAGUGUAUUUCUGAUUACCACGAGGAACCCUAGAAGAAUCAAUGUUUUUCAUUAUCUUAAACAUGAUCAUUUGUAAGUGAAUGAUCUUAGAAUUGAAAAUCGGGAAUAACGAGUUUGCAACCAAUUUUAUUUCAUAUUCCGUUAAUGUAAAUAUAUCGUUUGAUAAAAAACAAAAACGAUAAUCACCUGCACGUAUCAAUCACACAAAAAGCUUUGAACUCCGUAUCGGUAGUUGACAGUCAAAAAUUAAGAUGAGCGUGUGAAAUGUAAAAAUAAGUGUAUUGAUAGUACCCUGGUUUUUUUUUAUUUUUUUUUUUGCGGACGUACUAAUAAAUGUAUUAUGGACACCUUGCCAAUAACUACUAUCUAAUGCUUAAUAACGAGAAACUUUUUGAAGUACCUGGUAUUCAAGUCAGUAUUUAAGUGUCAUAAAACAAAUGAAAUAUCAGCUUGAAUAUCGGAUACUCAGCAAAAAUCCCUCCCCAGUAACAGUUAAAGUAAGUGUAAUAUCAUGUAAGUAGAAUGUCAAUGUGAUAGUAUCGCAAAACAAUCAUACAGUAUCAUGUAGACAAGUUAAAACAUAUAAUAAUGCGUGUUAAACUUGAGAUACGGGUUAUCUUGAUGACUCGGUUGCAUCAAGUCCAUAUUUUCGGUCUCACACACGAAAGGAUAGCUUGGUCCUGCAGAUUCCAUAUGCCAAAAUCCCAUCGAAAAUUUCUCAAAUGAUCUUCAAUUCUGGGUCUGGUUUUUCACACAGAAGGAAUCAAAUAUGCUAUUUCAUUAUAACGAAACCUAAUACGACCUAUCUUGUUAGCCAAGCAAAUUAUGAUAUCCGACGGAAAACAUUACGAGAAUCAUAAAUUUCCUUGGGUUUCUUCUCCAAGUCUCAGACCCCCAAUUUCAAGUUUUCUUGCAACACAAGUUUCAUUCAAUGAACAAAAGACAAUAGGAAGAGAAACAUGGUAAGGUCCAACAAACUUGGGAACAUGAACCAAAACUGAAAAUAAAGCCCAGAUAACAAGGAACACUAGCUGUCAGCUCGAAGGACUCGCGAACGCCAUAGCCGCCAUCACCAAAGUCCAAGCAAAGAGCGUAUACCAGCAGCAGGAAUCCACAAGAAAAAGAGGGCAAACAAAACAACCAACGCAACACCUCCUGCAAAAGCUUCAAAUCAACCAAAACAAAGCCCUAAAAUUGCAAAAAAGAGGAAAACCAAAAUCCUCCAAAGAGAUUGACGGGCCACUUCAGGAGAAACUGGUGGGAAUAACCAAACUACGACUAAUAGAACCAACAGAGACAAACACAUGGAAGGAGGCGGCGCAAGCACCUUAGCUGAAACUCUACACACCUUCCGACAUGGAUUGAUGUUGGAGUGAUCAUUCAAGAAAACCAAAUUUUCAAGGCUCAAAUGUUGGAACUUCAUGUAUAGCGGAAUAUGUCAUCCGAUGCACUAUUCUCUCAAAAACAUUCCUAUAAGGAUCAUCCUCCCGCUUCUUAAUUAAGUAUGCUAAACUGUUUUCAAGGUCGGAUUGUAUCUGCAAGUACAAUUCUUUCGCCUUUUCUUUGUCCUUGAUAAGGAUCUCCUUCUUUCUUUUGGUUUCUAUGGGCAUCCCAAACAAAUAGUAAUACAGUCCCGGUAAAUUUGGCAAAACCACUGGAUUAAAGACUUCUUCUUUCUCAACUCCCCACUCGACUCAUCCCUACAAAACCAGACAACAAUUUAUUCAUGUUUUAUUUUUAUCAAAAGAAGAAAAUUCAGUCUAACAACUAUCGACAAUUAAGAUCAGAUCGAGCGAGGGGAACACAGAAACAAUAACAUGGAGAGUAAUUACCUUAUUCUUACAGUACCGCGACUCGAGUCUUUGAGAUGGUCACUCAGCUUAGGGAUCUUCAUUAGGGCAUUCCUGUCAAGAACCAACUGCUAGAUAUCCAAUUAAGAAAAAAAUCCAAGUAUAUAUCUAAUCACUACAAGAAAUACCUUCACUAGCUUAGCUACUAAGAACAAACUAACGCGAGCUUACUUGUAGUAGAUCAUCUUCUCCCACGGCCGCAAAUGGUACAAUUGUGGCUCCAAAACCUGCAGCCAUUCUCAUGAAUUCCGGUCCGUCAGCCAGAAUAACUUGUAUUCUUCACCCUGCCAAUCGAUACAAACACCAUAUAUGGGAAGCCGAAACUAUAACAGAUAGAUAAAAAUACCAGCCAAAAUGAAGUGUUUUUGUAAAUUCCAUUGCAUACACAUAAAACAUGCAUAAUGCAGGAUCUAAAACUAUGCUUCUUAAGCCAGCUACUGAAAUUAAAUUGGUUUAAGAUGAAAGUGCAAGGAAGGAAGGAACUUGGAACACCUUGUUAUGGACAGCUUCACGUUCGCCGCCAGGAUAGAGCAGAACAUGUGAUUUUGUUGCAAACAAUUUGAACAGAUUUUUUGCCGUGACAGGUACUGCACCCAAUAGUUUGAUCACGUCAAAUAUGGGCGAGCUCGCAUGCUUGCCCCAAAACAGUUCUGGAUGUGCUGCUCCACGACCCAUUGUAUUCUUCUCUCUUUAAAGUUCAAGUGAAGAAAUUGGUUCCAAUCCCAGGGACACUUCUAUGUUGGGUCCAAUUUUAAAUCUCAACAUGUUAACUGUGAAGCAAAUGGGAUUGCACAUAGGCUUGCAAGGUAUGGUCUUUUAGUGGAACAAGAUUUGAUUUGGUUUGAGAAACUUCCAGAUGUAAUUGCUGUCUUGUUACUAAAUGAUAGAAUUUAAUUGUAAUGGAUGCAAGAACACUUUUUUUCUUUCGACCUGCUUGAAAUCUCAAACAAAGUUUAAUCAAGCCCAAAUAUAGGAAAGGAUGAAAUUGAAGGGAAAAAAUAUAUAUAUCUUAUGUAUUUAGUAAGUUUAUUAAUUUCGUUUACUGACCAGAGGUUUUUUUUUUUUUUUUUUUUGAACAAUCGAUACAAUCUAUACUAAUGUGGAAAUGAGUGGACUUAGCCUCACAAUGGGCUAACAAUAAUGUAGUUUAUAUUCGCAUUUGGCAAGAAUAGAACCUAAGAUCUUUUGCUUACAAGUAAAGAAAAAUACCACUAAACCGUAGUACUAAAUGGUUAUACGGACCCGUGUUAAGACUGAAAGAUUUUUUAUGUGGUCAAGCUUAGAGCCAAACCCUAAUGGGACCACUCUUAAGACAAUGCCUGCAAGCAACAAGCACCAUAAGCAAGCACGACCACAAAAUUUGCUUCUGCUUCUGGUCCUGGUCCUGGUACAGCUCACUCAUUCAAAAGUCGAGCAAUCGACACCGGUUCGGAACAUAAAGCGCGUGCCGGGUACACUAUGGGAACUUUUGGUCUCUUGCCGGACGUUUGCAUUGUCUCAUGAACAAAACAGGCAAGUCCUGAACCGGAAAUAGUUACACAGAGAAUGUAAACAUAAAAUUACAGUAGAGUAAUCUAAGAAGCGGGAUGUUCUUACACAAACGACAUCGAAAUCAACCCGGAUGCCAAUGGCAACCAAAACAAAAGUGAAGCAUUACAAUAACGAAAGUACAGCCCCAACUCGUACAAAAUUAUAUAUACAAGGUAAACAAAGUAAACAAGAAAAACUACCAGUCAAUACAACAAUUUCUAACCCGUAGAAUGCAAAAUCGGGAUUUCAUUUAUUGUAAAAUCUUUCAGAAGAUAAAAAACUACACGAAGGAGCAGAACGAGGUUAAUGGAAAAGAAAUCUGGAAAUGAAGCAGAAUGAUACUGUCUUAUUCUGUGAAACAAAUUAUAAAAAUUCCUUUCACAAUAGAAUGUUCUAUGGCUAGGUAUCGUACCCGACAAUAUAAAUCUACAAACCUUCCAUCACCAUGUGCCUAAUCCGGCUCUUCAGAAGUUCGAGGAAACUUCGUGUUGAUUUAUCAUCCAGUCGAAAACUCUAUGUACUGUCACACGCAGACAACCAAUUGACAAAUCUGCAGCGUCCGCAUCAGCAACAAAGAUCAUGAUGCUCCUUUGCCCAACAAGGACUAGGCUAACCAGAGCCUUCUCGGGAAGAUCUGGGGAAUGCCACUGGAUUCAGCAAUCAAUUGGUUUUCAAACUUUACAAGUGCCACGAGCAACCCCAGAAUAAUCAAUGUUUCUCAUUAUCUUAAACACAAUAUCACCUGCAAGUGUUAAUGACAAACCUUUGAGGUACAGCCCCGUCUCGGUAAUUAAGCGGCACAACAUUUUUAGGCCAACAUCAGUUUUUAAGGAAGAGAAAAGGAGCCAUGUUCUAAGACAUGUCAAUAUUGGUUUUUUCAGGAAGAUAGAAAUGUGCAUUAAAUUUUGCAGGCAUAAUAAUAAAUGUCUGUUAGUAGCUACUGUCAUUCUCGCCAUCUAUAGAAACAUAUAUAUAUAUAUAUAUAUAUAUAUAUAUAUAUAUAUAUUUAUACACGUAUCCUAUAUAUAUUUUUUAUCCUUGUAGAUCACUAUAUACUGCUUAAUAACAGUUACCAUAAGUGGAAAAGGCAUUUUUUACUACAAAUUUACAAACGAUCUGAAUGCAUCAAAAACUUGCAUAUUAGCGAAAGCAAAGGCACCUCACCUCUGGAAUCUAGCACAGAAUCACCUGCCCUGAAUCACCCUGUAAUUGAGAAUCAGAUCCUCAGAUUUCUUCCAUAUAUAAGCCCGCACCGUGGCUAAGCUCAUGUCUGAGGACAAGACCUGCGCAUAACAAAAGGAUAGGUAAUAACCAAUAGCAGUCACAGAACUAGUAAAUUGCAUAUAAGUUCAACCAAGAAUACAUUUAGCUGCUAAUCCCAAAAACAGAAAAAAGCAUUUACCACUGUCUUAAACUUUUAGCAGUUAUAGUUUUGUUAAAUUUUUAAUUGCCACAAAAGAAUCCUACUAAACAGUUUAUUUGCUAAUUACUAUGCAAGUGAUUACGUCCAUCCAAGAUGUUUGUCCACUUGCCUGAUUGUUACACAAUAUCUCUAUAGAAGGCUUAAGCUUUUGCCAUUGCUUCAAUCCAGAUCGGAAGGAUCCAUCUCCUACCGAUGAAAGCUGCACUGGCCCUCCAGCAAGACCAGGAGCAAAUGUUGCAUCAGGAUUGGCACUAUCCAAUGGUUUGUCAAGGACCAUCUUCUCAACAACAUAAUUAACUACCUGCAUAAAAUUUCCCGUUAGUAAAGUAUAAUAAAUAGGAUGCGCGCACACAUACAAUAAUGAGUACUUGAAGAACUUCCAUCCAUUCAUGAGCUAACAUGAAAUGCAGAAUUUACUUUAUGGAUUCGUAAAAUACGAGGGGCGCUUAGUUUCCCUUGUGUGAGGAUCUGGACAGUUGAACCUUCACAUGGAUGUAGAUAAAAACUGCACCUGAAAAAAAUUAACAAAAGAAUAUUUCUUUUAUAAGAUAAUACAAAAGGACAAAUAUUUCAAACAUAAUGCCUUCAAUAGCAAAUUUCGGUAAUUGUUUAAAAUUCAACAUGCACAAUUUUAGUUGCAAAUUUCAGGCAAGUAAUUCUUUUUUAACACAAGCACCAUAGUCUACUGAAAACCGAGAAGAGAAUUUAUUAUUCUCGGGCACAAAGUAAAAACUUUCUACUAAAGCAAGGAAGUUACUUGGUAUUUUCUCUAGGGGGUAGGCGAUUAUUCAACACGCAAUCGAGACACCACCAGGGAAAGUCCUUCUCAUCUUCAGUACCAUCUAAGUCAGUGAUUUUCUUCCUCCAUGGUCCCCCCUGAGAGCCCUCAGUAAUAAUAGAAGGAGGGGAAGUUGUAGAAAAUUCGAAGGGAGGAUAGACCAUUGAAUCAUUUUCAUUAUUACUAUCCACCUCAAUUCUUGAAUGGGUAAUACUUCUAGUAGUAAUAUCCUUUCCGGAUGACACAUCCCCAUUAGCUGAUGCUUGUGAUCCAAAUCUUUGCUUUCUUUUCCCCAACCAAUGAGCCAAGAGCCCUUUAAGGGUUUCUCGUGCUAGAUUAACCUGAAGAAUUACAAAAAAUCAUUUCUAACAGAUAUAUUUAUUUUCUCAAACAAUUUUGUCACGGGGGUAAAAAGAGAUAAAUCGGCUGACUUGGCAUAACUAAUAAAUGGUUAAAUGUCACAGUUAAGGAAAAAAAAAAAAAAAAACAGAAACCAUAGAACCCACAAAAAAGGGGGCGAAAAAACAUAGAAUGACAGUCAAGGUUAUAUCUACCUUGUCAUCUUCAGGCUUCCCCACAAUGUUCAGGUCUGCUGAAUACAUCUCUGCCGAAAAGCAUUGUGGGGUAUCUAAAUGUACGGAUAAACUUCCAAGUCUGGUAUCCACAGUGAACCAUGCAGGAAUGCUCACCUGAAGCAAUAAAGAAAACACUAUAAAAAUCCAUCAAUGCUGUCAAGCUGAAAUCAUUGUAGACUAGGAAGCAUACCAUCUCAAAAAGCUCUUCCUUUUUCUCCUCAAAUUUGACCUGUAUGGUACACAAUAUAAGUAUUGUUAUAAUGUUCCUCAUUAUGGCAUUCGCCUCUAACACUAUUAUAUAAAUCUAGUUAGAUAAUAGAGUAUAGGAAAAAAAGACUAUAACCUUUCCAUAAUCCUCAAUGACAACACCCCUCGUAAUCUCCCACAACUUCACUGAAUCAGCAGUGUCCUAUCAAGGUCACAUUGGUUCAAAAUAUUUAAUUAAGCAAUGACAUACAGUUUGACAACAAAACUAGAUAGUCAAAAUAAACUUUAAACAGGAGCAUCAUCAUAAUAACAUAUGAGAAAAUCAACAUGAUUACCCUUGUCAAGACAUGCCUUCUAUUGUUUAAUAUUUCAUGUUGCACUAUUCCAGGAAUUCCAGGAAUCGUAAAAAUAGGUUCUUUAUUAACAGGGACCUGGAAAACAUCCACAAUAACAUUAAUCCCCAAAACUCAAAUGUCUGAUGACGUGACAAAUAUCAAAUAAGACUGCGAAGAAAAAGGUGAAUAGCUACCAUGAUAACUAGAGCAUGGUACAUGCACAUGCAACAAGACAUAAAUUUUGAAUAUAAAGAACAAAGUAAUACUUACUAGGGUUGAUCCUUCUAAUGACACCCUUGCUCUUGAAAAGGACAAAUUUCCAGCCAAGAAUGCACCACCUCUUUGAAUUAUCUUCUGGGGAUUACUCCCUUCAGCAGGCCAUCUAUGAACUGAAGAAUCUGUUGUUGCAACCCAUAUACUAUCAUCUUGUAAAGCUAACUGCAGAAUGGGAUGUUCCCCUGUGGAAAGCAAGAGACUCUCUCUUGUGGCCAAGUCUGUCAAGUAUAACUGAGGGUAUAAACAGAAUUGAGUAUUAAAAAAAUGAGCAGAAAAACUAAACAUCCAAUGAGUUCUGAGAAGAGAAUUUACAAGAGAACUGUACUCACAGAAAGAUCUCUCCCACCACUAUAUACAUGACUAAAUGUUGGGGUACUGGCAAGUGCCCAAACAGAAUCUGUAUGCACAGCAUAAGAAUGCACACAGCGCUGCUGACCAAGAUCCCAUAGCCUGCAAAACAGAAAGAAUUUGGUGAACCAUGUUCUUAAUAAAAUACCAACUUCCUAUCACAAAAACAAUCAUAUCUUUCAACUUGCACCUAAUGCUAAUUGUUUCCAUUGGAAGAGAUGUGGGUACCAACCUGAUCAUUGAAUCAGAAGAUCCUGAUAAGCAAAAUCUGUAAAAAUGAAAUUAAAAGAAAGAACACACUGUUAAUGAUUGUAACCAAAACAAAUUGUAUGAAUAUAGCACAGAGAACUACCCAAUUAGAUGAAUAAAUAAUUCAUUAUCAAAUCAAGGUUGUGACUUGCUUGUUCAAUACAUUUGCUGUAUCAUCUAUAAAACAUAUUACAAACUGAACUAUCAAGACCAAAAAGUUUAACAGAAAUCAUUUUUGAAGUGCUCAACCAAGACAGCGUAUGAAAAACUUAUCCAGCCAACCUUCCAGUAGAAUCAAUCAGCAGAGCCCUGAUAUUAUCUGUAUGCCCUCUUAGUUUCAUUUUCUUUGAACCUGUUCUUGGAUCCCAAACACGAACAACCUAAACGGCAUCAGGAUAUAAUUAAUAGUUAUUAACACUUUCUGGUAAACCUCACACACUAACUAAAAGACAAAAGAAAAAUAUUCAACCAAAAGUUGGUACACUUCUGCAGUUUAUAAGAAAGUUUCAUGUCUUCGAGAUAAAAAUAAUAAAAUUAGGACACAGCCAACCCUAGACAACAAAAUAUACCUUCUCUGUUCCACCAGAGACCAGAAGCGAUCCACUAUCAUUCAUUGCCAAUGCAUAAACUGAUUCCUUAUGACCUUUAGCAGAGAUUGGAACAUAUCCAUGUGGCUGAGUUGUGUGCAUAGAAAUGCAGUUGCUAGAGCUGAUAGUACGUAAACUUGUAAUUGCAUUUCCAGAACCAUUGACAGCAUUUGAACUAUCAUCUUCCAUUGAUUCACCUGACUUUGCAACUGGAGUAAGAGCUGCUUCAAGAUCCCAUACAAAAACCUCCCCUCCAAGUCCACCAGAGGCAACAAUAUUGCUCUAAAAUGCAUGACACUACAAAAGGAUCAGAAACUUUCUUUUUCGAUAUCAUAUUCAAGAUAAAACUAUACAAAUACAUAUGGAAAAGAUGUCCGUCCAUAUUAAGUGCAUAAACUAUUAAAAUACAGCAGAAACAUUACAAUUAGAACAUAAGUCCCAAACAAUCAUGAUUAAUCAAAAGAAAGAGAAUGUCCAUAAAAUGCCUAUGAGAUGCAGCCCACAAAAAUGUCAAGUACUGUUUCCUUCCAAAGACAUCUACCUCACCCCUCUUAUCUUUAGUUUCUUUUCAUCCAAACAAGCCAAAUGAGUGCAAAGACUAAUCACCAAAGGGUGAUCAUCUGUUCAUUAGCAGAAUCCCCAAAAGAGUCCUCCACAGACACAGAAAAUCACUAUCUGGGCAGCAUUACCCACCACUCCAAACACUUGUAGGAACUUAUUCAAGAUUUGAGAAGUUCAAAUGAAUGCAGAAAGAUGCAAUCUAAACUAUCAGCAUAUUCAGGUCUUCCAUAAGAUAUGCAACGAUGCCACCAAGCAGAACUCAAACUAUCAGCAUAUAGAAUGAGUGCAAUGACAAGACCUAUGCAUUCAUAAGGCAGAUGAAAAUUUGAUGAGAAAAUUACAUUUUUCUCUGCGGAAGCAAGGCAUGUGACAUAGUCAGAAUGCUGACGAAGAGUUUUGGUACAAGCUCCGUCUGACAUGCAAUUCCACAUCUGACGUAUCCAUAUGACAGUUGAAAUAUAUAAAAAAAUACAAAUGAAUCAGUUACAGCCAUAAAGAAAACACAAGUUACAAAACCAAAACAAAGCAAAACAAAGAUCUAGGCCAAUGAACCUUAAUGGUGGUAUCUGAAGAACAAGAAACAAGCGUAUUAUAACCUGCAAGAACAGCAUCAUUAACCUGCACAACAGAAGUACUCUCAUUUUAACUUAUGCAUGCAGUACAGGAAAAAAAAAAGUAAAUAUCACUUUUUCUUAAAAGUAAUACAACGACUGUAUUAAAAGGUGCAUGUCUGGAGCUACGAACAAUACAAUGUUGAUUCAAAAAACAGUCUAAUAUUGUGCACAACACAAGAAAGUUUGUGCGCACAACAUUCUUCCAUUUGUUUUCCCUUUUAACAAUUUGUAUGCUGAUUGAUCUAGUUUAAACAUCCUACAUGGAAAAGAUUCCAAUAUAAACCGACUCCCCAACCCUGCCUUAUAUUAAGACAAGAAGAACAAAAUCCACUCAAAAUUGAAGAGUAAGUAAUUCUCAUCAAUUUCCAUGAGAGAAGAACUCUCAAAAUUUAAACAUCUACAGAGCUUAAAUGGCACGUUUUGUUUUAAAUAAACAAAACUAGGUUUAAACAUAGGAAGAAAAUGGUUACCCAAUCCACAUGAGACUCAAAGGUUGCUGAACACGUAGCAGCAUCUUCGGCCAGCGUCCAUCUUUUUAGUGUGCCAUCACGGCUUCCAGUAAACAGGUAAUCACACCCAGACACUGAUCCCUUAAGUACAGACAAAGAAUUUAUGCCGGCACAAUGCUGCAGAGAGAAACAAUCCAAACGUGGUUAAGCAUCUAUAAUUUAACACUAACAAAAUGUUUGAUGCAAAAUGCUUAUGUAGGCAGAUUAAACAAAAGUUACUAUACGUGUUGUGCCUUUUAAGUCUAAAAGUGAGACAUAUACUUUAAAAUAUAAAAGAUUUUGUAACCAAUAAAAACUUAAAUACAGAACUUAAAACAGAAAUCAGGAAAAAAAAUACAGAAUCAAUUCACCUUCGUGUCGUUGGCAUCACUCAACACAUAUGUUAAUCUCUUCUCUUUACGAGGGCGAGUGGAAUUGUUUGUGUUCCCUGAACUACCCACUCGGUGCAUCGCAUAAACAACUACAAAGAGAAGCAUUAAAAUUUAAUAAUCAAAGAUUAACAAAUAAAUGUAAACAAUGAAUUCCUAUUCCUAAAAAGUGACCCUAAUUUUAGAAUAUAUUUGGUCCUAGCAAGUUUGUCGAACAAAAGGCAUUGUUGAAACUCCAAAGGUAAAUAUACCACAACGACGUCUUAGUUAUCCACUUGAGUUUUUCAAUACAACGAAGCAUAACAUAGGUGACAUAUCCAAUACAGAUGAUGUAAUAAAUAUGCUUUCUCGACAUGUUAAGGAAUAUUCUAUCACGUAAUCAGUUCUCAACCUAUGAUGAAUAAUUUGAUGAACUUAUCAAUACCUUAUGCAACUGCAACUGCAAUGAAAAGAAAUGAAUUAGACACUUAAGAGUUAACACGUAUUAAAGUUGCUAAUCUCCCAAAGAAUGUAAUUGGUAUGUAGAUUACGUUUGACAUGUCAAAUGUAAUAAAUUUGACAAUCCAACCUCUUCCCACUUUCUCGUGUGAUAUUGCCGGGAAUCAUUUUACUGUUUAAUGUUUAUUUACCAACAAAAACAUUAGCUCUUAAAAAUAACAGAUGAAAUGGUGAUACUUCUUAGCCCUAUACAACACACAGCACCAAAAAACCGCAGAACCUCAAACUCCCCGACUGCCAAAACCCGCAGUUAUAUAAUCGAUGAAACACACUAUAAAAAAAAAAAAAAAAAAAAAAAAAAAAAAACCCCGAAAAUAAUUGCUGACCAUCCAGAGCAAUUGCAAAAUGUUCUAUUCAAUAGUUUUCAAUACCGCCAUUUCAACUAACCCAAUACAACUUCGAUUAGUCUCAGAAUUUCCAUGGAAUCCGUCAAUUUAUCCAAAAAAUUCCCGACUAUCACUCAAUUUAAGCACCAAUAAUCAACUCAAAAAAUUGACUAAAACAGAUUAACCAGGUCACCAAGUCUACUAUUAACCCGAACCUCCUCCAGAUUAAGACCUCAAAAGCACAACCAGGAUUAAAAAACACAAAAACCCACUAAUCAUAUUCGUAUCUACCAUUCAGAUGAUCAACUAAGUUAAUUACUAUUCAAAAUGCAGAGAAAACUAAAAAUUAAUACAAAAAUUAGUGAAAUUAACAGAGUGGAAAACCCUAACCUUACCAAUCAGUGAAGAAAUUGGAAGCUCCCUUUUUUUUGCUGCUCCUCGUCUUCUUCUUCCUUCUUCUUCUUCUUCUUCCACUGAGUUGCGAUUUCAGAGAGCGGAAAUUUUUGGGUGUGGGUUUCGAUUUUAUUGUGGGCGAGUCCUUUGACUCGGUUUUUUGGGGUUCUGAUCGAGGUUAAUUUCGUCUUUUUGCGUGAGUAUAUGAAUUUAUGAAGGGCGUGGACUUUAUAUACACUCGCGGGUGUGCGGCUGGAUCGACACUCGCUUCGCUGGCAAUUGGUUCGUACUGUGGGGCCAGACUGGGAAGAAUACGGUUGAGUUACGAAACGGCCCCUGGGCCGAUGUGGAAACGGGUUCGGACUCCGGUUAUGGUAAUGGGCUCGGACUCCAUAUAUUUAUGUAAAAUUCCUUUUCUUCUCUUUUGAUGAACAUUUAAAUUUCCUUUUGAAUAACUUUUUUUUAAAUAACUUUUUACUAAUAAAUACAGAAGUUUCUUGACUUUAUUAUGGGCUCGUUCGUUUGGAAGUGUUUUUCAGAUGUUUGAAACGUUUUUGGUGAAAUUGUUUUUAGAACAAAUUCUUAGUAAAAGUGUAAGUAAAUUCUAAAAAACAUUUAAAGUACUUCAUAGGUCAUGCAAUGACUUAGUAUGUCCAUUCGUUUAGGUUUUUCAAUUUUAUUUCCAUAUUUUUGUAAUGAAGUAGCCCAUAAUUUGGCUAUGUUUACUUUCCUUUGGGUGUAAAGAUGAAUUAUUACAGAUAGAGGAGACAGACGACUCUUAAGUUCCAGGAGGCAAAAUGAGAUAAAAAAAUUUAGAGGGCAAAGUAAAUCAAACUAUGAGGUUUAGAGAGUAAAGUGACGACUUUUGAAUUACAAAGAGCAAAGUGAGAUUAAAAUUGAGUUACAGAGACGUAGUUAAAAAUAUGCCACUUAGUAUUGAUGGAUACUUUGCAUUGGCAAUUAUACAAGGAAUUUAGUGAUUUUAUACUGCCUUAGUGUUGUUACUUCAGCUCUUGGUAUUCCUACAUUGUUGCCAUUCUUGAAAGCCGUGUGUCAAAGCAAGAAAUCGUGGCAAGCACGGCACACUGGAAUCAAGAUUGUUCAGCAGAUUGCCAUUUCGAUCGGGUGUGCUGUUCUUCCCCACUUGAGGUCUCUCGUGGAAAUUAUAGGGAAUGGUCUGAGUGAUGAAAAUCAGGUGGUCCGGACAAUUACUGCUCUCUCUCUCUCUCUCUCUCUCUCUCUUGCUGCUCUUGCUGAGGCUGCUGCCCCAUGCGGUAUUGAGAGCUUUGACUCAGUGUUGAAGCCUUUGAUGGAAAGGUAUUAGAUCUCACCGCGGUAAGGUUUUGGCUGCCUUCUUGAAGGCAAUUGGUUUCGUUAUUCCCCUCGUGGAUGCAAUGUAUGCUAGUUAAUAUACAAAAGAAGUGAUGGUUGUUUUGAUUCGAGAGUUCCAGUCUCCCGACGAAGAGAUGAAGAAAAGUGUGCUUAAAGUGGUGAAACAGUGUGUGAGUACAGGAGUAGAGCCCGAGUAUAUAAGAAGUGGUAUUCUGCCUGAGUUCUUCAAAAGCUUCUGGAUUAGAAGGAUGGCUUUGGAAAGGAGAAACUACAGGCAAUUGGUGGGAAACAACUGCGGAGAUAGCAAAGAAAGUGGAUGCUGCUGAUAUAGUGGGGGAGAAUUGUUCAGGAUCUCAAGGACGAGAGCGAACUGUAUAGGAGAAUGGUUAUGGAGACAAUCGAGAAGGUGGUUGUGAACUCUGGUGCAUCUGAUAUUGAUGCUCGGGUGGAUGAGCUUCUCAUUGACGGUAUCCUUUAUGCUUUCCAAGAGCAGACCAGUGACAAUGUUAAAUGCGAUGCUUAAUGGAUUUGGUGCAGUUGUGAAUUCUCUUGGGCACCUUCCUCCGAUUUGUCGUAACACUAAGUGGCGCUUGAAUAACAAGGGUGCAAAGGCACAAGCUACCGAUCUUAUUUCGAGAACCGCUGUUGUCAUGAAGCAGUACCAAGAGGAGCAACUGAUGGGUCAUCUUGGUGUCGUCUUGUAUGAAUAUUCGGGAGAAGAGUACCUAGAAGUUCUUGGAUCAAUUCUGGGAGCGCUGAAGGAAAUUGUGAACGUUCUUGGUAUGACAAGGAUGACACCUACUAUAUGACUCCAAUGUUGAAAUAUAGGCACGAGAAAGUCCAGGAGAACUGUAUUGACCUUGUUGGUCGUGUUGCUGAUCGCGGUGCUGAGUUUGUUCGAGCAAGGGAGCGGAUGAGGAUCUGUUUUGAACUUCUUGAGAUGCUUAAGGCUCAUAAGAAUGGUAUCCAGCGUGCUACUGUCAACACUUUUGGGUACAUUGCUAAAGCCAUUGGCACACAAGAUGUCCUUGCCACUCUACUGAACAAUAUCAAAGUGUAGGAGGGUUAGAACCGUGUUUGCACCACCGUGGCAAUUGCGAUAAUAGCUGAAACCUGUUCUCCUUUUACAGUGCUUCCAGCACUAAUGAACGAGUAUCGUGUUCCAGAGCUUAAUGUGCAGAAUGGUGUUUUGAAAUCCCUCACUUUCUUGUUCGAGUACAUUGGUGAGAUGGGGAAAGACUACAUCUACGCAGUGACCCUGUUGCUGGAGGAUGCCCUCAUGGAUGGAGAUAUCGUUCACGGGCAAACUGCAGCUUCUGCUGGUAAGCACAUGGCUCUAGGUGUAGCAGGAUUGGGAUGCGAGGACGCAUUCGACCACUUGCUGAACUACGUCCGGCCAAACAUAUUCGAGACAUCCCCGCACGUUAUCAAUGCUGUCAUGGAAGCGAUUGAAGGGAUGAGAGUGGCGUUAGGUGCUGCUCUCCGGGGGCUGUUCCAUCCUGCUAGGAAGGUUAGAGAGGUGUACGGGAAGAUUUACAACUAGCUGUAUAUCGGAGCUCAAGAUGCUGUCGCGUCGUACCCUUUGCUCGAGGACGAGGAGCAUAAUGUAUAUACCAGGCCCGAGCUAAUGAUGUUUGUAUGAGCAGCUGCUGCUGUAAGUUGGGACCCUUUUGGUUGCUUUAGUUUUUCCAAACCAGUAUACGUUACUAUGCUUAUGUUCAAUAUUUCGUUUAUGCUACAAUGGGUUGAAGUUAUGAAUUACAACCCGAAAGUGCCAGUAACCAAUUGGUUUUACAGUGGAACCUCAUUUUUUGUCGUGGUAUCAAAGUAUGUUUACCUUUAUGUUGGGCUUAACAACUCACGUGCUCUUAUAUCACUCAAUAUGCAAUAUAUAAGGUUUGAAUGACGUCAUAAGUGAGGCGUUUUGUAGAAAGUUUGAUACAUCGAAAAAUUAUUAAACCUUGCAUGGAUUUACCUCUUAUUGGUAAUUUGUUGUAGGGUGAAUACUCAGCUUCACCUUCUAAGUCACGGUUAAUUAAGAAGCAACUCGUGAACUCACCAUUCUUUCAUUCGAUCUCAUGCACUAAAAAUAUGUCAUAGGAUGUGAUAUCCACUGUUAUUUGAAAGCUCGUAAUUUCACUAUUUUGGUUUGUCAUAUAAACUUUCAAAUUAAACCGGUUAAGUUGGUUGGUUUGAUGUCAGAUUGACGGUUGUUUUGACCCAUUUAAUUAAUAGAAGUAAAUUGACACAUCUUAAAAUAUUAGCAUGACUAAUAACCAAAUUAAAAGUCGAGAAGCCGCAUCAAAACAAUGUUGUAACAUCAGAACAAGCGUCAAGAGAGAAAAGUUGUGAAAUUUAGUAGGAUGAUGGAAGGAGGAUAGUGGUGGAGGGAAUGAGAUCCAUUUCAGAUCUAUGUUUUCAGAGUCAUCGGACUAAGAGAUCUAGACCGUUUAAGAGAAGGAAAAAAAGAUCUGGACCGUUAAAGUUUGGAUUUUUGUUAUAUGGGCAAGUAAGAUGAGAGUAAUGAGAGAUCAUAGGAUUGAAAUUCAGUGGUGCGGAUCUCCAAGUCUGCAGUCUUUAAACACAGAAACACAGAGUGCAUCCCAACCCGUUGUGGAGUGGUUAAGGUUUGGUGGGGUAUGUGUGUAAACAACCACUAAAAAAUAAAAUUGGUGGGAAGUGAAUAUAGUAGAAGCAAAGCAUUUAACUUUUCCCUCCUCCGCUCCACACGCUCCUCUGUCCUGUCCCCUGCCCCCAUCUCUGAAAAAAAACAGAAGGAAAUAAAACUGCUUUUACAAUACAGUUUUAGAUCUUGACCACCCAAACAGAAUCUUAAAAACACAUGUUUUCUUUCAUGUUUUUUAUUUUAUUUUAUAUUUUACUGUAACAAAAAACCCUCACCUGCUAACCAGGGUCGUUAGAUUGUUUAAUCAUUGAGGUAACUUUCCUGGGUUCACGAAAUCUGAAUUUUUACUAUUUUCUUCCCUUUUUUUAAUUAAGGUUAUCGAAUUACUGCUUCUUUUUCUGUUUAAAUACCUUUUUUCUUGUACUUGUACUUGAGAAGAAGUUGGAGGAAGGAAGUGCUUUUAAUUUUUUAAAGUUCUUUAAUUUACAUCAACUUUCAGUUGUUUCUUCGUUCUUUAUUGGUAAGAUUGGUCCUACAAAUUCUUGUACUUGACUUAAGUUAAGUGCUUUCUCAGAACUCAGAAGUGCUUUUUCUCUCUCUUCAAAGGGUCAGCUGUUGUUGUUGUUCUGUUAGUGGGAAAAAUGUUGAUUUCAGCUGAAAAAAAAAGGGCAGAUCUCGUUGCUUUCAGUUAAUGUGAACGAGUCCUUCCAAUCACGUCGUCUCCGAUGGAAUCAUCUAACGGUCCAGAUUCCACCGAUGGGUUGCCAUCCAUUGACUUUUCGGAUUCUCCUCCUCCUCUUCCCACCAUCUGUACGGACGUCAAUGUCGUCCCUGAGCACGAAAAGAAUGAGCUCCAGCAGUCCAUAUCAAAUCUUGAAGGUAAAGUUUUUGAAAAUUUUCAGUUUCUAGUAAGCUCGUUUAGGACGUAUUGCUUAUGGAAGGGCUAAAAGCAAAAGCGCUACGAGCAGAAGCGCUUACUUGAUCUAGCAAAAGCUGUAAUUUUUUUCAAUUGGGUUUUGUAGGAGAAAUUGCACAGUUGAAGCAGAAGCAGAAGUUCUUGGAUGAGAAGAGGAGAGAAUCUUUGAACAAGAUUAUAGACAUCAAAGGUAAUGUUGGGUCACAAUCAGAUCAAUCAUAAAUUUCUCCGAAAUGUUUUUUUUUUAUUUUUGGUUUCUUUGUUUUUUUUGUUUUGUUGUAUCAAGUGAAGUGAGUGUUCAGGUAGUAUUCGAGUGUUCUGUCGGGUCCGACCGUUCCUAGUGAUCGACAGGAGAAGAAUCCGGGAACCCAUUUCGGCCGGAUCGGAGAAGAUUGCGGUUAAGACAGCCGGAACAAGAAAAGAAUUUGAUUUUGAUAAGGUUUUUCCACAAGAAACCAGUCAAGGUUAGUGUUGGAAUUAAAGGAAUGCGUGUUUUACAAGUUUGAUUAUUUUGUUAAUUGUUUCGAUUCGUAGUGUUGAGAGUGUGAAUCGCACAUCGGGAAAUUAAAGUCUUGUAUGAUAGUUUAAAUGAUGUUCGGAUUUCCGAAUUCUGUAGAAAAUGUGUUUGCUGAGGUGGAACCAAUUCUCAGAUCUGCACUUGAUGGCCACAAUGUGUGUAUUUUUGCUCACGGCCAAACCGGCACGGGCAAGACAUUUACCAUGGUUAGUGAUCGAAACUUCGAUCAAGCUUUUGUUGUUGCAUUUGUGUUCGGUUGUUAGGUGGAUUUUCGUUCCAAAUGUGCGUAAAAUGAUGAAGUUAAAUGGAUAUGCAGGAUGGAACUAGUGAGGAGCCGGGGAUAAUUCCUCGAGCUCUCAAGGAGCUUUUCUGUCAAGCCUCCUUGGACAGCUCGUCCUCUAUUUCCUUUUCGAUGAGCAUGUUGGAAGUUUACAUGGGCAGUCUCAGAGAUCUGCUGUCCCCAAAACCCACCAACAGAACAUACGAAACUGUAACAAGAUGGUAAGCAUCGGUUUGUUUAGUGCCCUGGUGCGACAAUUUCAGGCCAUUUGUUAGAUUGCUUACCUCAGUUUGGCUAACACUACUACAGCAAUCUCAACAUUCAAACAGAUCCGAAGGGGACGGUGGAAAUUGAGGGCCUUACAGAAGUCCAAAUUGUCGAUUUUGCUAAAGCUAGGUGGUGGUAUAAUCGGGGGAGACGAGUUAGAUCAACUUCUUGGACGAAUGUCAAUGAGGCGUCUAGCAGGUCUCACUGGUGGGUUCCAGGUCUACUUACAUUUUUUCAAAUUUUUCGUUGGAUUAUUUUGGUCGAUAAUUACGUUAUGUUUUUAGCUUCAUAUAUCUAGCUUAACAAGGAUAACCAUAUUUCGGAAUGGGGAUGCUCUGGAAGCUAAAAGGGAAGUGGGUAAACUGUGGAUGGUUGAUCUUGGAGGAAGCGAACGGUUGCUUAAAACGCGGGCAACUGGACUUACACUUGAUGAGGGAAGGGCCAUAAACCUUUCACUUUCCGCCUUGGGUGAUGUCAUUGCUGCUCUACGAAGGAAGCGAGGCCAUGUGCCUUACAGGUAAGUUAGUUGGCAUAAACUGUCAGCUUUAGUUGCCUUAUUCCCUUUUCCCUUUUCUUUUUCCCUUGGGCCUUCUGAGCUUUUCUCUUUGCUUACUGAUUGAGCAAGAAUCUGAUGCACUUCAACUUUUCGGUUGCAGGAACAGCAAGCUGACACAAAUCCUGAAAGACUCCUUAGGUAGAUCCACAUUCUUCAAAUUUUGUUAUGGAACUGAAGUUCUUUACACAUCAAAGGCUAUUCGAAGUUAUUUAAUUUGACAGUACAUAAACUUCUCACGUAAUACUAAUCGAGUUCUCAACAAUGGUAAUGACCCCAUGACAAAUCAUUACGUUUGUGCACUCAAUUGCCAUCGUGAGCUGGGUUCCAUGAUUUACGCACCCCCUUCAUCAUCUGGACUUGAAAGUGCUUAACAUUUGUUUUGUAAUCCGAUAUGCUUUAGGUCACGGUUCAAAGGUUUUGAUGCUUGUGCAUGUCAGCCCCUGUGAAGAAGAUGUUGGGGAGACGAUAUGCUCUUUGAGUUUCGCCAAGAGAGCUAGAGCUAUAGAGUGUAACAGGGAAUUAGCAGAGGUACCUCUCUCUAGUUUCUUUGUAAUUUUCGGGUUUCUCAGCUGUAUAUUUUCUGAACAUACUAUUUUUUCAGGACUUGAAGAGGCACAGGGAAAAAAGGGUGAAGGAACUCGAAGAAGACAUGAGAGAAGCUGAAGAAGAGUGCCGUAAAGUUAAAAAUCAGAUACAAAAGGUCGAUUUGCUGCUACGCGAAAAUAUAAACCUCUUUGCAGCCACGUAUGGACAUUUGAAAGAUGAGAAGGCCCCCAUUAGUCCCAAAGAAGUUUCGAGGGAAGUUAUAGAAACGCCUCGAAAGCUAGAGAAAGGAAGCAGAGGAAACAACAUUUCAAAUUCUUUGCCUCGGUUCAUGACUUCCACUGCAGCCAGUCGACAAAGGCAAAGCUCUGCAGAAAGAGAAACUGCCGCUAAAGCAAGAAGUUUGAGAUCCGUGGCCAGAAGUUCAAUCCAAUUUACAGCUUCACAGUCAAUGAGUUACUCAGACCCUCAAAUCAAAGCAAUUUUACAAAACUCGAGUAGGAAAUCGCGAUAUGCGCAGGAAGCAGCAGAUACUUUACCGGCAGAGAGCCCGAAGUGCAAUGGCUCGGAAUCAUCCAAGACACGAAGCAAGUUGGUCACUUCGUCCGAUCCAAACUUGAGACCUAUGCUUAGUCGUCAUAGAAGAAGGAUGUCUGAUCUAAUCUAACGGUCUGAGUGUGAAUAAGAUUAAGAUAAUGUGUUAUAUGUUAUAGCAGGAAUAAGAUGAGUGUUCGUGUUUUCGGGUUGUUUUCGGAUUGUUUUCAAGGUUCAUGUACUUGAUAGUUUGAGUUUGUUCCUGCAAGAGUUUUGCAGCUGAGUGUCGUGUGGGGUGGUUCAAAGUUUGAACUUCAAACUUCAACUGGGAUCUGUUAAUUAUUUGUUUACACGAUCCCUAGGUAGUAAAAUGAUCUGAUUAAGGUUGAUGAUUUAUGUUAAGUUAAAUUGUUAACAGAAUUUCGUAGCUUCUUUUGACAGAAAAAACGGUCAUUUAGUUAAAUCUCAAUCGUUCACCUGUGGAACAAAAAUGUGCAGAUGUCAAUUUUCGACCGGCUCGAUUUAUAGUGCUAGUAAGAACAUUGUUUCACUAAUGAAAGAGCGGUACAAAAUUGAGGCAAAAUUUGAAAAUCUCGUUGAUCUCAAAAUAGUAGGGUCAAGGUCGCUCAAUGAGACAAAUAAACUUUAUGCUUGAGAAAAAAAAACCCCAAAUCACUGGUUAAGGCCCUUUUAGAGUGAUAAAAAUGUAAGAAAAAUGACAUUAAAUCGUGAUUUGAACACAGUUUAUUACCUAUUUAAAAAGUCUCCUUAACCCUGUUUUAUUAAAAUUAUAAUUUGUGAAUUUUUGUAUCCACCGUUUAGGCUUGACAAACCAGUUGUGUUUGUUGUGUUUAUAUCAUUUUCACGAUAUACAUUUUAUUUUAACCGGUCGUGUUUCAGAUGAUUAACUUAUAACUCAAUAACAAUCCGAUUCUUUAAUAAAUUGACUCAAAACCUAUUAUUUUUGUUUCAUUUCCUGUCGAAUUAACGGCUCGUGUUACCUCUAUGUAACCACGCUCCAUGCGACACCGCAGGCAAUGACAUGUUCCUCCCAAAACGACAUCCUCCCUAACGACACAGGGCUCCUCUCUUGCGCUUCGUGAAACGGCGUCGCUUAAGGCCCGUUCCCAAAUCAAUUUUCCGCGAUCCCAAUCGUUCUGCCGACCUAAAAUUCAGAGUCUUGAAUGUAUGAAGACUUCAGCGUAAAAUCGAAUACACGCAUCCACACCACAUGGCUCUGUGGUCGUCACCGUCAAAUUCGUCGGCUAAGGGGAUAGUGAUAACGGUGCCGGCGCUGGUUCUGACGGCGUCAGUGGCCGCGGUUUUCUUCUUCUUUCUCUUGUACUCUCUCUCGUCGCCGUGCACUUGCGGCGGCCGCGACGCCGGUGGGGCUGCUAGUGCUAGUUUUGCGAGAGUCGGCGAUGUCGAUGGACCGAGUGUCGGCGUGGCGGAGGGCGGAGGAGGAGGAGGAGAGACGAUAUGGUCGUCGAAGGAGGAUGUGGAGUGGGUGAAGGAUCAGAUCCGAGUGAAUGGGUUGCAUAUGCAGGAUAACGUGUUGAGGAAGGGAAUUAACCCUCGCACCAGAGCUCAGCAGCUUCAAGAUCUCUUGGAGUCAGUAUUCUCUCUCUCUCUCUCUCUCUCUCUCUCUCUCUCUCUCUCUCUCUAGAAGUACCUCUUUAAUAUUAUGUGCACAUUUGUAUGAUUAGAAAUGGGGACUUGGAUUUGCACAGUGGGAUUGGGAAUUGGGAUUUCAAUUGAUUGUGAAUUAGUAAACUCUAUAAUCUUGGAUUCAAAGAUGUCAACUUUAAUUUUGAGUACCAGUUCAUGUGAUUUUUGUGCCGAGUGAGGAUGUGGGGGAGAUGAGAUUACAUCAGUAAACUUCGAUUUUCAUGAGAUCGCAGCAAUCGACUUUGAUUUGUUUUAGUUAUGUGGACGUGAACUCGAAUUUGUUGCUUAAGUUUCUGCAUUUUCUUUACAAUAUAUCUUUUCGAUGCUGAGUUUGGCAAGUACCUGUUGUGGCUCUGUUUGGUUUAUGUAAAGCACUGGGUUAGGUUGGAGAGAAACGAAAAGGUUAAGCUUGAUGAUCGGCUAGAUUUAUAGAACAUGGAUUUAGACUAGAUCAUAUACUUUGAAGUGAUUUGUUCUAUUCCUUUUGUUCCGGUAGAUGCUUCUUUGUAUUAUAUUUGUUGCUCGAUGAUUCUUUAACUGGAGUAUUCUCUUACUUGGUUGGUUGGUUAGAUGAUUUCUCUUUCUCUCCGCGUGCUUUUCUCUGCCUGCAGUUUUCAUAUAUUCAAAUGUUUGCGGGUCAAUUGAAUCGCUGGCAAGUUAUUCAUUUCAUGUUCUGUGAAUAUAGGGAUGAUUUUGUACAAAUAGUUGACCAAUAGUUUCUGAAUUUUCAGGUUCAAGGGUAUAUCUCAUUAUGAAGGACCUGAUUCAGAAAAGCAUACUGCUCUCCCAUGCCCUGGUGAGCUCCUAACUGAGGAGCACCACAGUAACUACGGUGAGCCUUGGGCAGGCGGGCGAGAUGUUUUUGAGUUCCUCGCUCAGUCCUCUCAUCUGAAGCCCGACUCAAUUGUCCUUGAGAUUGGCUGUGGUACCCUCCGAGUCGGUUUGCAUUUCAUUCGCUAUCUUAAUCCUGGACACUUCCACUGUCUUGAAAGAGAUGAGCUCUCACUAAUGGCUGCCUUUAGAUACGAGCUUCCUUCCCAAGGUCUUCUGCACAAGCGCCCUUUGAUUGUGAAAGGCGACAACAUGGACUUCGGCGGAUUUGGUUCAGAUGUUGUUUAUGACUUGAUCUAUGCUAGUGCUGUGUUUCUUCAUAUGCCUGAUAAGCUUGUGUGGGUUGGAUUGGAGAGAUUGACAAAUAAACUGAAACCCUAUGACGGGCGAAUCUUCGUGUCCCAUAAUAUCAAAUUCUGUUCGCGGUUGGGAGGAGACGAAUGUACAAAGCGGCUUACAAAUUUAGGCCUGGAGUAUGUCGGAAAGCAUACACACGACAGCUUGCUAUUCAACCACUACGAAAUCUGGUUCGAGUUUAGGAGGACGAAGGCUUAAAGUUGCAGAAUUUAUUCUUUUUUUCCCUGCCUUUCGUCCUAAUUUAGAUACGGGAUGUGAGCGGCUGAUCGAUUGUGCAGCAGGCUGCUUUGUAUUUUUGCAUAGGAAAUGUGUAACUUGUAAGAUUUUGAUAACACUUCUUUGAAUUCAUAUAAGCCAUUCAUUCUUUCUGCAGCAGUUGCUUAAUAAGUUGCAUCAUUCCAGCGCAACUUAAAUUUUCUCUUGCAAUUUCGUAGUCACGAUAAUGACUUACCUACGCCCAUAGAAGAAAAUAUCGAUAAUCGUUUUUUUCAUAUAACGAUAUUUCGUGGGUAUUCAUUUAAUUAUCGCUAUAAUAUCGAUAAUAUCGCGAGAUGAACCUAAAAAUAUUUGAAAAUUUCUGAAAAGUCUCAAACAUGCACAUAAAGGGAUUCGAACCCCUCCCAUCUAACUCCUUCAGCGCCUUGACCACUAUACCACUUAUGUUUUUGUGAAAACAUGCUAAAAUAUUUAUAUAUAUGGUUUUGUUUUGAAUUCUUUUUGCAAGAAACAAAUUUGCACAUAUUCCAAAUUUUUUGUGGUAUUAUAUUUUAAAUUGUGUCAAUUAAUUACUUAGUCAAUGGCAUGUGGUUUUUAAUUUUUCUAUUUUUUAUUUGGUCACUUACAUGUAUGGUUGGAAAAAAUUCCCGAAAAUCCCAAACCAAACUGAAAAAGUCCCAAACCAAAACCAUCCCGAAGUUUGGGAAUCCCAUCCCGAAAAAUACCGAAAUUUUCGAUAUGGGAUUGGUUUCCAAAUCCCAUUUGUUUGGUAAUCCCGAAAUCCCGAAAAAUACCGAAGUAUUCGGUUUCCUAUUGACUUUUGGGUUUUGGUUCUUGAAAGCCAUUGCCAUGGUUGCUGACUACUCUUCACAAUACACUUACUCUACACAUAGAGAUGAUGAAGAUAGUGAAAAUUUUGAACCUCAUAGGAACUCUAUGUGGUACUUAGUCACUCAUGUAUCUUACCAUGCAAUGUAUAAAGUGUAAAAUAUUGUACUAAUUCAUUAUAUAUAAAUGAUUAUGGUGUGUUUAAACUUCUUUCAUUAAUUACUACAUAUUUUCUACACUCACAAUGUUUGCUAGCUCGCUAUAUAAUCAACUUAAAUCAGUUAAAUCCAUCAUGCAAUGCAUUUUCUUCCAAUUUUUUGUGAUAAACUAAUAGAUAAUUGACUAAAUAAACAUCCUACAAAGUUUCAAUAAAAAUUUCCAAGUUUCUUACAAUUUCCGUGGUUUCCAUGUAAUUUUUAUCGAUAUCGAUAUUAUCUCGAUAUUUCCAUCGAUAUUUCCGUGUUUUCAAACUACCGAUAUUUCCGAUAUUACCGAUAUUUUCUUUCUUACCUACGCCCACUAUGCCAUUGUAUCCACGAUAUUUCAACCUAAUAGGUACUUUUCGUCUAAUAAGUUGCAAAUUGCAAAUAACUUACCUACACCCGCUGUAUGCCGCCUAAUAGGUACGUUUCUUCUAAUGAGUUGCAAAUUGCAAAUAACUACCGAUAUCCACCAUGCCAUUGUAGCGAUUCUUAGGCCUGGUUUGGUAAUGUGAUGAUUCUGAAAAAAAAUGGGUAUAAAAAAAAGCUGGGAGUUUUUUUGUGUUUGGUAAACAUUCAGCUUCAGCUUUUUUUCACAGUUUUGGGUGAAAAAAAAGUCAAAAACACAAAGCUGCAAAACCAAGCUUUGAAAAACCGAUUUUUUUUCACAUCUGUUUUACAUAAAAGUUUACCAAAUAAUAUAAUAUUGUUUUUUUUUUCAAAAUCACUUUUACAAAAAAGUUUACCAAACACUCUGCUGCUUUAUUUCACAGCUACUUAUUCUCACAGUACAACAAAAAUAGUUUUUUUUCAAAACAUAACAAUACCAAACCAGCCAUUAACCUAGUCAUGCUCGGUUGUCACGAAACUUAAACCAGGUAGGUACGUUUCUUCUAAUAAGUUGCAAAUUGCAAAUAUUUACUUUUUCGGAGGCUAACUAGAACAUAGAAAGUAUUAACGACGUCGUUCAAGGAAGAGGGUUUUGCAUUUCCUUCAACCCGUCUCUCUGUUCCCAAAACCCCGAAUCUGCAGACUAAAACCCUAAAUCGUCAUCAAAGAGAAAUAGAGACCAAAAAGAGCCAACAUUUUCGAGAAUGCAUCGCUCUUCGCGAAUCAUAAGCACCACAUUCUGCAACAAAAACUCGAAGUUCCCGUCAUCUUUCUUCGGCUACCGUUACGGUGACCGCAACCUCGCUCCGUCGUUUCACCGCCCGAUCUCCUCCACGACGCACCUGGAUAACUCAUGGAUGAACAAGAUCAAAGGGGUCUUCACCGGCAACAAGGCCUCUCCGGAGGAUGCAAAGUCCAGCUCCGAUUCGUUCACGCUGCUUCGUACGUCCCUUAAUUUCAACUUUGUUUUUCACAUUUUCUAUUUUUUGUUUCCUGAUUAGGUAUCUCUGAGAUUUGAAUAUUUUGUUUUCGAGUUUUUGUGCUUGAAGUUUCGAGCUUUUUGUAAAACCUAUAUGAUAUUUUGAAGAAAAAUGUAGAAUUUUCGAGCUUUUUGGAAACCCAUUUGAUAUUUUGAAAAAAUGUAAAUUUUUCGUGCUUUUGGUUCCAGGGGUUUGUUUAACUCAGUUAAAUUUUGUUUAAAUUUGAGAGAUUGGUUGGAAAUUCAUGGUUACGUUAACGAUAAUUAUUUGUUUGUUUCUUGGGUUGAUUAUAGGAUUUGCGGAUGAGAUGAAGAAUGCUAGAAGAAUUGGGGCGUUCAAGCAAUACAUUGUGGGGAGAAGCAGUGAAGCUACUUUUGCCGAUGCUUUCGAGAAGCAGGAAGCGAUUAUUCGCUAUCUCGGAGGAUUUGAUUCCACUGGAGAGGUUGGUUUUACCCUUUUAAAUUGAUGUUUUACUUGUUAUUUUUUUGCCAGAUGAAAUCUCUGUUUGGUCCAUUUGGCAAUGUGUAUACUUGUGUGCUUAUGCUUGUAAAGUUCAAGUCUCGUAAAAUAAGUCUUGUAAUAGUCCAAUUAGCUACAACACUAUUUCCUAUGUUCUUAAGAAAAAGUGCCAUUUCACACAAAAUCUAGGUUUGCCUCUGGUUUUUGUGAGAAUCUGGAUAUCUCUCAGAUAAACUAUUCCAUCCUACAUAGUUUUAAUGCCAAUAUUUGUGACUUGAAUACGAGAUUGUUUGCCUAUCUUUUUAAUUCCGCUUUCCUUUUCCAUAUUCUUUGCCAAUUUCUCUCGCUCUUUCUUUUAUGGAAUUGCUUUAAACUCGAGUUCUUUUUCCUCCUUAAACUGCCAAUAUAAUCACUACAGAGAAAUGAGCUAUUAAGCUGAAGGAAACUUCAUUAUUCACAGGAUGCAGUCCAAAGUAUUUAUUUAUUGGAAUUUCAAAAUGAUUCAUACUAGGUUUAUGUGCGUAGAUUGUGUCUGGUUAAGUCUCUUGAUUAUAGUUUUAGGUCUUUUGUUUUGUAGAAUCUCCAAGUUGCUCAAAAACAAGAAGCAGCGAAGCAUUGUAAAUGCACGAUUGCUGAUGUUGAGAAUGCUCUUGCAAAAUUCACGUGGGCUAGAGAAGCACAAAAGAAGAUGGAGAAUUUAAAGAAAGAAGGGAAACCAAUGCCAAGGAACAUUAACGAGGUAUUAUUUCUCAUUUUUCAACCUUCGUAAAACUGAUUUACCCUGUGCUGAAAUUAGUACUUAACUUCAGAAUGUCUUAUAUAGCUUUUGCUAUCUAUGUCUUUGCUUGUUUUCUUAUCUUUGGGAAGGCUUUAUAGUACAGUGGCAUCCUUUUGGUUGGCUAAGCACCUAAACUUCUUGUUAAGGCCAGAUUUUAUCUGCCCGCUUAUUGGCAUGUUUCAAUAGCCGCGUUGAAUUGUGUGUGAUUGCUUCCUUCAAGAUGAAUUAAUAAGUUAGUGGAGGCAUGCGAGUUGCUUCCAUUGGAUGUACUGAAUUUGUAUUAUUUAUGUGGGUGUGUAUGUGUUGUAGGCACUGAUGAGGAAAAUGAGAGGGGUUUGGUGAUUAAGGGGGAAGUUUAAAUCAUAUUGGUUAUGGAGGCCUUGGUUUGUUUAGCUACACUUUUUUCCUGUAACAUCCACACAACACAAAAUUCUGAUAACGAUUUACGACUGUAGGAAACAUUGCUAACUCUAAAUUUCGGCUCCUCAGGUGCAAAAAUUGAUGGGUUCAACGCCAUUGGACCUUGCCAAGUCUAAUUUGGCUAAGAGUGGGCAAAUCAGUAGGAAUGCGCUCUGUCCAUGUGGCUCCAAGAAGAGAUACAAACGGUAUACUUAUCGCCCUGCAUUCUUUUAUCAAGAUUUGGGCAGUUACUUUUUAUUUCUCAGAAAUGAUAAUCUUACUUGUUUGAUUCAUAUGCAUAGGUUUUAAGAUUGAUAAGUUUAUGCGUCUCUGUAUUAUUUCUUAUGAAGGUGUUGCGGCAAGGAUUGAUACGUUCCAAGGAUAAAAGAGCAAGGAAAGUCUUUGCUUCCGUCAUGAGUAUGGAGAGAUGCCAAGAGCUCGAAGAAUCGAUUUUGCAGUUUUGGAGCCUUUGAUUAAUUUUGGUUAGGGUUUAGCCUUCUUGAUGUUCCUUUUCUGCUUGAUCAGACCAGAUCGUCUCGACAUUUGUUUAUACAAAUAAUAAAUUGUAGUGAAAUAACGGAGGCAGAAGAAAUUUGAUUAGAAAAUGAGUGAAAGUGUAAUUUUUUCAACUCUGGGACACUUGCCAUUGUCAGUAGCUCGACUUUGUUAUAUUAUUCAAGACUUUUCAGUACACUGGUCAUUUUAUUUGGUUUGUUCUUCGAUUCUCCAUGACGUUGAGAGUACAAUUGUGUUUUUCAUUUGACUAGUUGAUAAUGAUAUUCUAAACUAAUCUAAUUUACGAAGAGGAUUUGAACUAGAAUGCAAGUGACCGGAGCACCCACAUUACCACCUCAAUCUCACCGGCAUCAUUGUCGGUGAAGACGUGGUUCAGGGAGUCGAUCCAGAGGUGUUUGAAGAACUCCAGCCGUACUCCUGCAAGCAGGUGGAGGUGGGGGAAGAAGGUGGCGGUCGAACACCAAGCUUUAUGGGCUUGUUGGACCAAUCAGGUUGUAGGUUACCUAUUUCAGGCUAUUUAUAGAGAACUAAGUACUUAACAUUAGCGUUUGGGUUCAUUGAGCUUGUUAGCAGAGUGUUACAUAGUUUGCAGACCGACAGAAGAAUAUUCCUUUAAGAUUCAUGGAUUGUGCUUCGGAGAAUCUUGAUGUGCUAAGAGUUUGAUAGGCAAGCCCAUUACUAUCAAGGUAAUUUGUGCAGAUCGCGUAACUAUUAACUUUGAUCGUUUACUCGUGAAGGUUUGACUAAUGAUUUUGGACUUUUAGGACCUUCUUAGAGAAUGUAGCCCGUUAGCUCGUGAGGGUUUGACUAAUGGUAUACAUAUUUCAUACAGUAUUUUAUGUUUCCACAAUGUUGGAUUUGAGAGGACGCUCAAACCCUAUAAGAUAAUAACGAAGAGAAUAUUGAUGGAAACUACAUACCAAAAAACUGAUAGAAACCAAAGAAAAUAAAUAAUUUCAAAACUGAAUUGAUGAAGGGGCCGCGCGAACGCAGGCCCCCACAGCAACAAAUUAUGACGCUGGCUCUCCUACGUUGAGGAGACCAUAGGCAAGCACCCCUCCUAAGUGCAAUGGAGGUCACCAGCCUAGGACAUGAGCCUUCUUGAUCGCCCAUCGACCCCGUCCAGGUAAGUAUGUUGCCAUGUGCAUCUCGUUCCUCUUUUAUACGUCGGUCUCGUCUCUCCACCGCUGCGUUGCUCGAUGUGGUACUGUUUGAUGUCUCAGACCAAAUACAACGCAUUUUAGCAUUAGAGUUUGUUCUCACUUGAUAAGAACCAAAUAAACUCAAAUUAAUAAAAUAAAAUAAUUUAUUGGAAGAUUUUGCCAAAGCUAUUAUAUUGCCUGGUAGUAAUAAAGUAAAUAAUUCCCAUUCACCAAAAAUCAACUAGUAAUUAAACUAGUGCUGUGUGUCGGAAGCCGGCGGACUAGAGAUCUGGACCACUCACUGUAAAUUCUACAAACAACAUUAACUCAUCUCAUUGAUCCACCUGACACAAAUCAAAAGUUUGAAUCUCUUUAUCUCUCUUGAAUGGCCCAAAUCUCUAUCCACUAGCUCAGGACCUCUGAUUCUGAAUUUUGAUUCCCCGUAAAGUUGAAUGUCACGUCAAAGUGCUGUUAAAUUAUGCAUGAUAUUGCUAUCAAUCGUAGUUGGUUUAUUAGGAGAUUAAGACUUUGUAGCAACUUUGGUUAAAAAAAUUGGUAAGGCCACCAUAUUCAAACCCAAUUUCAAAGUCUUUCAUGAUCUUUAAUAAUAUUUGUAAUUUUUGUACGUAUAAAUUCAAUCCAAUACAUCAUCAUUGACAUCAUAGCAUAGUUGUUUGUUAUUUAACUUUAUCAUACAUUUUUAAAUAUUGUUGCUCAUAAUAUCUAGUGUUUAUUAUUCCUAUCACCUCUAUAACUUGUUAUGCAGACCGAUAUGUCCAGAAUCGCUCUCCGUCCGUUCAGGCUAUCUGACGCCGACGAUGUCUUGUCAUCGGAGGUGAUGAUCAGGUGACUCGAGUCCUCCGCGGAUUCAAGACGUUGACAACGAAAGACGAGGCUUUGAAUUUCAUCGAGAACGUUUGCAUUCCCCACCCAUGGCGCCCGUCGAUAUGCAUCGAUGACCGUUCGAUUGGUAUCGUCAGGUGAUGAUCGGCAUAAGGCAGAUAUGGGGUAUGCUUUAGCUGCAAGGUGUUGGGGCCAAGGGAUAACAACAAAGGCAGUUAAGAUUGCACUCUCUCAAGUUUUCAAGGACUACCCUGAUUUGGUUAGGUUGCAGUCUUUUGUAGCUGUAGAGAAUAAGGCCUCUCAGAGAGUUUUGGAGAAAGUAGGGUUUCAGCGGGAGGGUGUGCUGAGAAAGUAUCUCUAUCUUAAGGGAGAUAUAAAGGACAUGGUUGUUUAUAGUUUUUUGUCAAGUGAUUUCACUAAUGAUCUCUCAAGUAAUGAAUUAAGUAGGGACGAAAGCCGGCCUUAGUGAUCCGACGGUGCCGAGUGGAAGGGGCGUUGCUGAACGGAUAAAAGUAUACUAGGGAUAAUUAAGUUGAUCUUCCCCAAGAGGUCCUAGACUUCUUUACUAAUCAAAUAAUUUGCAAUUUUCUUACGUAACAUGAUGUUAUUGGCGUCUUUAAAUUCGUUUUAAACUUGCAGUAUAUUUCUGAAUUUUUCUUAUUUUGUUAUUCUUAUUUGAUCGUCUUAAUGUUUUGUUUAUACAGUAAAUUGUAAUGAAAUUGAGAAGAGGUUGAAGAAGUUUGAUUAGGAAAUGCAUGAAUCUGCAAUUUUACAAUAUUUCUCUUUCGUAUUUGGGUGGCAUGACACUAGUAGCUAGGUUAACUUAAUUCCCAUGACAUAAUGACCAUAAUACUGAUUCUGUAGGAAGCACUUUUGUUAGAAGUACUUCUAUAGAAAAAUAUUAAUUUUUUUAUUAAAACUCUAAUUAAUUUGAUGUUGAGCCACCAACUAUUUUUUGGGCUUGUUAGACCAAUUAGGUUAUAAGUUACCUACGACGGGCUAUUUAUAGAGAACUAAGGAGUUAACAUUAGCAUUCGGGUGCAUUGAACUUGUUAGCAGAGUGUUACCUAGUCUGCAGACCAACGGAGGAAUAUUCCUUUAAGUUUCAUGGAUUGUGCUUCAGAGAAUCUUGCUGAGCUAAAAGUUUGAUAGGCAAGCCCAUUACUAUCCAGGUAAUUUGUGCAGGUCGCAUGACCAUUGACUUGGACCGUUUGCAAUUAAUUGAGCCUGAGGGCCUAUUGAUUCUAGGCUUUUAGGGCCUUCGUAGAGAAUGUGACUUGUUAACUCAUGACAGUUUGCAUAUUUCAUACAGUAGUCAUAUUUAAUAAGUUGUACAUGUGACGUGUUUCUAUUAGUCGAGAUAUUUAAUGUUUCCACACUGAUGACUUUCCAUUGGAUUUGAGAGGACGCUCAAACCCUAUAAGAUGACGAACAGAAUAUUGAUGGAAACCAUAACAUACCGAAACAGUUAGAUACCAAGGCAUAUAGAUAUUUUAAAAACUGAAUUGAUGAAGGAGCCGCGCGAACGCAGGCCCCCACAGCAACAAAUUAUGACGUUGGCUCUCCUACGUUGAGGAGACCAUAAGCAAGCACCCCUCCUAAGUGCAAUGGAGGUCACCAGCCUAGGCCAUGAGCCUUCUUGAUCGCCCAUUGACCCCGUCCAGGUAAGUAUGUUGCCAUAUGCCUCCCAAUCCUAUUUUAUACGCCGGUCUCGUCUCUCCACCUCUGCUUUGCUCGAUGCGGGACUGUUUGAUGUCUCAAACCAAAUGCCAAAACUCUUCCUUGCUUUGAUUUCUCAGACCAAAUACAACGCAUUUUAGCAUUAGAGUUUGUUCUCACUUGAUAAGAACCAAAUAAACUCAAAUUAAUAAAACUGAAUAAUUCAUUGGAAGAUUUAGCCACAAACACCAAAUGAUAAACAACUAGCUAUUAUAUUGCCUGGUAGUAUUAAAGUUAAUAAUUCCCAUUCACCAAAAAUCAACUAGUAAUUAAACUAGUGCUCUGUGUCGGAAGCCAGUGGACUAGAGAUCCGGACCACUCACUCUAAAUUCUACAAACACCAUUAACUCAUCUCAUUGGUCCACCUAACACAAAUCAACAAUUUGAAUCUCUUUAUCUCCUUUGAAUGGCCCGAAUCUCUAUCCACUAGCUCAUGAUCUCUGACUCUGAAUCUCGAUUCUUCAUAAAGUUGAAUGUCACGUCAAAGUGCUGUUAAAUUAUGCCCGAAAUUGCUAUCAAUCGUAGUUGGUUUAUUAGGAGAUUAAGACUUUGUAGCAACUUUGGUUAAAAAAAUUGGUAAGGCCACUAUAUUCUACAAACCCAAUUCAAAGUCUUUCAUGGUCAUUAAUAAUAUUUGUAAUUUUGUACGUAUAACUUCAAUCCAAUACAUCAUCAUUGACAUCAUAGCAUAGUUGUUUGUUAUUUAACUUUAUCAUACAUUUUUAAAUAUUAUUGCUCAUAAUAUCUAGUGUUUUCUCAUUCCUAUCACCUCUAUAACUUGUUAUGCAGACCGAUCUGUCCAGAAUCGCUCUCCGUCCGUUCAGGCUAUCUGACGCCGACGAUGUCUUGUCAUUCGGAGGUGAUGAUCAAGUGACUCGAGUCCUCCGCGGAUUCAAGACGUUGACAACGAAAGACGAGGCUUUGAAUUUCAUCGAGAACGUUUGCUUUCCCCACCCAUGGCGCCGGUCGAUAUUCAUCGAUGACCGUUCGAUUGGUGUCGUCAGGUAAUGAUCGGCAUAAGGCAGAUAUGGGGUAUGCUUUAGCUGCUAGGUGUUGGGGCCAAGGGAUAACAACAAAGGCAGUUAAGAUUGCACUCUCUCAAGUUUUCAAGGACUACCCUGAUUUGGUUAGGUUGCAGUCUUUUGUAGCUGUGGAGAAUAAGGCCUCUCAGAGAAUUUUGGAGAAGGUAGUGUUUCAGCGGGAGGGUGUGCUGAGAAAGUAUCUCUAUCUUAAGGGAGAUAUAAAGGACAUGGUUGUUUAUAGUUUUUUGUCAAGUGAUUUCACUAAUGAUCUCUCAAGUAAUGAAUUAAGUAGGGACGAAAGUCGGCCUUAGUGAUCCGACGGUGCCGAGUGGAAGGGGCGUUGCUGAACGGAUAAAAGUAUAUUAGGGAUAAUUAAGUUGAUCUUCCCCAAGAGGUCCUAGACUUCUUUACUAAUUAAAUAAUUUGCAAUUUUCUUACGUAACAUAGUGUUAUUGGCGUCUUUAAAUUCGUUUUAAACUUGUAGUAUAUUUCUGAAUUUUUCUUAUUUUGUUAUUCUUAUUUGAUCGUCUUAAUGUUUUGUUUAUACAGUAAAUUGUAAUGAAAUUGAGAAGAGGUUGAAGAAGUUUGAUUAGGAAAUGCAUGAAUCUGCAAUUUUACAAUAUUUCUCUUUCGUAUUUGGGUGGCAUGACACUAGUAGCUAGGUUAACUUAAUUCCCAUGACAUAAUGACCAUAAUACUGAUUCUUUAGGAAGCACUUUUGUUAGAAGUACUUCUAUAGAAAAAUAUUAAAUUUUUUAUUAAAACUCUAAUUAAUUUGAUGUUGAGACACCAACUGUUUUUUGGGCUUGUUAGACCAAUCAGGUUAUAGGUUACUUACUACGGGCUAUUCAUAGAACUAAGGAGUUAACAUUA